rnacentral:lncRNA from 1 species
UAAAAAUCAUAGUUUUUCUCAGUUUUGAUAAAACUGCCGAGGUGUUUGGCAAGUGGUAGUUUUUUUUUUAGUUUUCUUUGGUUUGGAUUGUUACGUUGUUGCAUGCAUAUUCAGCUAUACUAACGGAUCAGCUUGUACUAAUAGCAACCAUAUACAUUCAACCUUGCACGAGCAUGUUCUCUCCUACUCCGUAGAUGCUAGGAUCUGUAGUAGAGUUAUCUUUUAUAAUCAAUCAAGGACCGAGGUAGUUAAGACAUGCACUGAAGGUCUACGUCUGCAGCUCAUGCGUCCAUGUGUUUUCAGCCGGCGGCUAAGUUCAUUUGUAAGUGUACUUCCGCCUCGAACCGGACAGAUCGAUCGGCUAGCUAUUGAUUUAUGUACCACAGGCGUUGAUGGCCAGAAGUUGGACACAAAGAGACCAAGCAGCCAGCGUUUCUCAGUUUUUAAAAAAGAGGCCAGGGCCUCUUUUUAUAUACUACAAAAAUACCAUAAUUUUAGAGAUGCCACGGUUUGUUAAACUGCAGUAUUUUUUUCAUCCAAACGGCUCAAAGUAUUGAAUAUCAAGGUUUUUUCAGAAACCACAAUAUUCUUAAGAAACUACAAAAUACUUUGGCUCCCAAACGCACCAUAAAUCAAUGGAUCUGUGAUUGCAGUGGAUGUUGCUACUUCUAGAAAGGCGUAAAGAUGAGAUGGGCACGAGAGAAGCUUCACAACAUGAUCAACAAUCUUCAACUGGUGCACAAUGGGGAUCAAGGUGUUGGAUGCUUUGUGUUAUCUCUUACUUCUCGGUGUUUGCAUGCGCUUCUUUCAUUUAUAUUGUUGCGGAUGACUAUAUUUCUGAUUUUGGUUGUGUGUUUUUUGGAUCCAGUAGCGAGUGAAAUCUUGUUGGUUGUUCCCUGACGACGAGGGCGAUUGUUUCAUUUUUAUCCUGGCUUCUUAAUUACCCUGGCAUUUCUCCCUUAAUGAAAAUGGCAUGAAAAGAAAAGAUGGACAACAAUAACUCAACGCGCGAAGCCGUUCAUUUUUCGGCUGCGAGGGAGUGACAUCCAGUCUUCAUGUCGAUUUGGGAACCGGGGCAAGCCUUUACUCAAAAAGGCUUUCGUCCCGCUUUAUAUAUAAAGCACCGAUCAACAAGCAUCCAGUACAAACGCACGUCACCAUUACACACGCACACACUCAAGGCAGGAUACAAAGGCGCUGAGCACAGCAACACCACCCCUAGCACUAUCAUCACGAAGAGAUGAAGCUACAUAUGACGAUCCAUGAGCUCCAAAGCGGCGCCUUCAGGAAAGGGACGACACCGACGCGCCGCAACCGCCCGAUCCAAGGAUCAGAGUUUCCCCUGGGGCUGCAUGAUGGGCAAUGAGAGCCGCGACGAUGCCUUCAAGAAGGGAACAAUCUUCGCCACCGCCGGUCCGUCCGAAGAUAGAACAGGUUUUCACCUCGGCCAACACUCACCGCCACCGAACGCCACACCCCGGCUACCACGCCGCCCACACGGCCAUGGCGAGCGGGCAGCACCAAGCAACGGGCUCUGCCCAAGAGCACCGCGCUACCACCACCAGGGCCGCCGCCCCGACAUCCAAGACCUUGACACCACCUCACCCGAGACCCGCCGCUACCCCAACCAAAGAGACGAGCGGAAAGGUCCCACCUUUCGCACCCCUGGGCGACCCCCAUCGUCGAGACCCGAUAGGCCGGCCAGAACUGGAAUCCAUCAGCCCGUCCUGCAGCCCCGAGAGCGAGACGAACUCGAUCCUGCAGCACCGUGAGGGGGACGAGGUCAGUCCUGCUGCACCGUGCGCGAGACGAGCUCGGUCCUGCUGCACUGUGCGCGAGACGAGCGAUGGACCGCAGCUGGGAGAGGGCCAGCCCUUGGAUGGAAGUAGUGCCCGGACGACGAGGAGAUGGGGCGAAGGUCAAGACGGUCCGAACGCGGACGAGCCGACGCCGGAGAAGCCGGCCGUCGCCGCAGUCAGAGCCGUCGAGCCACCAUGAAGCCGCCACGACACCGAGAGGCCACCACCAACGCCGGACCUCCCGCGCCGCCGCCCACGGCCAGAGCAACAGCCACGCCCGGCCGCUGCCCACCCGCGUCGCCCGGCAAGCUCCAAGCGUCGGAGCAGCCGGGCACACACCAUCGAUGCCACACGCCGGAGCGCCAGCCACCACCACAGAGCAUGCGCAUCCACGCCCUGGCCAACACCACCGGAAGCCCCACCAUCCCACCGGAGAAGCACAACCACCAGCAGCACCACCACCACCUUAGCAGGGCCGCCAGCCGUCCCCGCCACCACCAACCCCCAACACCAACCAGAUCUGGGCAGAGCCACCCAGAUCCGCCGCCAGAGCAACCCGCCUCCUCGGAUCCCCACAAGCCGCCGCUGGAGGGGGGAGGGAGGAGAGGGGGGCACUCCUGCGGGCCACCAUGACGCCGGGGAGNNNNNNNNNNNNNNNNNNNNNNNNNNNNNNNNNNNNNNNNNNNNNNNNNNNNNNNNNNNNNNNNNNNNNNNNNNNNNNNNNNNNNNNNNNNNNNNNNNNNNNNNNNNNNNNNNNNNNNNNNNNNNNNNNNNNNNNNNNNNNNNNNNNNNNNNNNNNNNNNNNNNNNNNNNNNNNNNNNNNNNNNNNNNNNNNNNNNNNNNNNNNNNNNNNNNNNNNNNNNNNNNNNNNNNNNNNNNNNNNNNNNNNNNNNNNNNNNNNNNNNNNNNNNNNNNNNNNNNNNNNNNNNNNNNNNNNNNNNNNNNNNNNNNNNNNNNNNNNNGGGGCUGAGGCGGCGGCGCUAGGGAAGCCGCCCGGAGUUGCCCGCGGGAGCGACUCGGCUGGUCACCGGGGCAAGCCUUUCAAAGGAGAACAAAUCCAAGAAACUGCCCGGAUUAGCUGAUGUAACAUCAACCGACAUUGGGCCACUGACAGGUGGGGGAGCAUGUUUGGGGCCCCACACAUGAGUGGCCCUAGAUCAGCCCAGGUAAAAGUCAGCGAUUCACAACCCCAUCCAGUCGUAGUGCCGCGCGUACGAGUCAGAGAUGGACCGGACAUGCAUGUGCAGUCCAAGUGCGAUGCCGUCCGCAGUUUCAUACUCCUACAUGCAACUGGAUCCUGUCGUCCUGCUGCUGACGAGGAAUGAAACGGGCCGGAGAAGGGCCGUCGGCGUCGUGUGUGGACAGAGACGUCGGAAUCCAAGAAGAAGAGGACACCCGCCGGACACUGGUCACCAGCUCCGUCGACGGAUGGCCGGACCGGAAUUGUUAAUGCUCGAUCAAAAACAAUGAAUGUGCUAGCUGCAUCUCGCUAGCCACCUGCCCGCACAUGCCGCGCGUUCCCGUGCAUGCAUGCAUGACUGAACUGCAACUUUGACAAGUUCGUCCUCCCUGAGACCGGCCUCAGGUCUGAACCGCAUGACCGCCGUCUUCCUGUUUCUUGCGGCCGACCCAGACGGAGCGGACCCAGACGAGUUCGUCGGAGGCUUCACACACACAGGAAUCACGUUAUCACAGCACAUUUUGUUCCAUCCAUCGUCACGUGACCUGCUACAGGGCAGCGACAGUGCUGUGAGGCACGAGCGCAGAGCACGUACAGCGAAAAUGGCGACCGCGGUACGUACGAGGAAACGUUCUGCUCCAGAGCCGUGAGCGCCGUCGCCACUGGUGCCAGGCCCUGGCCACCCACGGCCAAGGCAGUCAGGGCAGGCUCACUCGUCGCCAUCCGCCGCGACGACAUGCAUAUGCAUGAACGUAAUCGAAAGGGAGUCUUCCGUUGAACUGAUUCAGGCGAGAUAUUUAGGGCCAAGCGUGCCGUUCCCACUCGUUAGAUACGUACGUAUGUUUCGGCCUCUUGUCAUCUGCCAGUGUCUGUCACGGGUACUAGAACAGAAGCCGCCAGUAGGAUAUCAGAGCGCCGCCUUUGAUUUCAUCCUGUGACGAUCCGUGCACGGGACGCUUCCGGAAAUCAAUCAGAGUACAUUUGUUUAGAGCAAAAACGUCGUGCCAUUGCAAAAUGCCAAGAAGAAGAACACGCUUGAUUUGUAAUCUGUAUGUAUAUCAAGAGACGCAAUUAGAACGGCAUCAUGGAUGGGGCCAGGCGACGUGGUCGUCCUACAUGUGCAGUACGUACGUACGUGGUCUAAUGAUGAUGAAGGCCGCCGGAAUGAUAAGAUGGAUCAAGAGAGAGACACGCACUGCAACCUCUGCCUUGAUCCGGCCGUGCCUUCCAUAUGUGUAUCGGCGAACAUGCAUGCCUGUGAUGCGCGAUCGAAAAUCCCACCUAGGAGUGUCUCAACAUGCGUGCACGUGGCCAUGUCCACGCACCAAAAUGAUCAGAAUAUGUCCUUGUGUUCACCCGAAAUGCCGGCACUCGCUCUGCACCAUAAUAUAAAACGUUUUGUAGUUUAAUAAAUCUUGAAAAAUGAUCAGAAUGUGUCGUUGUGUUCACCCGAAAUGCCGGUACUCCCUAUGUACCAUAAUAUAAGACGUUUUGUAGUUUAAUAAAUCUUGAAAUACGCACGAGUCUUGUUCGUUGGAAUGGAGAAGAUAUUAUAAAAUUUGGAGACCCAACAACAAAUUAAUAUAAACUAAAUGUGCACGAUCCAUCAUUCAUUUUGCUUAUUUAUGUCCCUUUAAUAAUUAUUAUUUUUGAGAAAUCGUAUUCUGUUAUGCAAUGUUUUGAAAAUUAAGUUUUUGUCAUGGCUCUAGAUUUUCCAUUGUAUGCAAGUUGGAGGACUGAGAUCCUCUACAUCAAUUACACAUCCAACAGUGCCGAUGACACGUGAGGGGUCAGGGACACACGGCAACAAUCAUAGUUGUGGUACAAUUACUGCAAAGGAUCUGGACUAAAAGUUGGAAUGCCGAAAUUCAAAUGAGGAGAAUAUGAUGAAAAGGAGAGACCGAACAACAAAUUAAAAUGAACUAAAUAUGCAUGGUCUAUCAUUCAUUUUGCUCAUUUAUGUCUCUUUAAUAAUUAUUAUUUUGAGAAAUCGCAUUAUGUUAUGCAAUCUUUCGAAAAUUAAGUUUUUGUCAUGAGAUCUAGAUUCUCUGUUGUAUGCAAGUUGGAGGAUUGAGAUCCACGACAGCAACUGCAUGUGCAGUACUGCUAAUGACAAGCGAGGUCGGGUCCACAUGACAGCGUUCGUAGCUGCGGUGCUAUUACUGCAGAGGAUCCGGACCCCAAGUUGGAAAGCCAAAACACAAAAAAUGCAAGUUCAUAAUAGAAAUUCAAAGCAUGAAGUUAAGUAGAUAAAAGAAGCAAAGGCCCAGUUCUUUUGACCGAUUCUUCUAGAAUCUUGAGAAUUGAACCUUCAUCCAGCUUCUCCUAGAAUCUUGAACCUAUAUUUAUUUUUGACAAUCCUAAAAGCACUUGUGAAGAAGGAAGCAUACUAAGCUCGUGAUCCACGAUAAACAUGGAACAAGUGUAUGGAACAAAUAAGAUUAUGAUACUCUUGUCUUUACCCUUCCAUUCUGAUUAUUUAUUUAUUUUUUGGCAUAGACCAAAAGGUACCUCGAUCCGAUGACGCUGUUAUGUGUCUUUGCACGUCUAUGCGAGUCACACCUUGUCACCCCACCCAAGCUUUAAUUCAUUAGAUAAUUUCAUGUGGUGAGGAGUGUAAAAGCAACAAAGUCAUUAUGGUACAACUUCCAUCUACAUGAAGGCAAUGUGGUGGUGUAUAUUAACUUAGCAUCAAAGGGCUCCUAGUCAGGGCAGUGGAAAGGAUGGUUCUACUGCCAGCCACAAGAAGGCACGAACAAAAAAUGAAAACCUGAGGUCUGACCUUUAUUGGUUGUGCCUGGCAAUUGCCUUGCUGAAGGUAUUGUUUCGAGAGCUCGGUUGUUCUCCAAGGCGAAAACCUGUGAUCUUGGAUCGGGCGAUGACGACGCUUGAGCAUUGUUUCCUUCUUGAAGGCGUUGCUUUUGGAGACCUUUUAUGUUUUCUGGAUGUUGUUUUUGGUGAUGGUUUGUGUGCUGCUACUGAGAGGAGUUGAUCACUAUUGCAAGGCCUUUUUCUUUUUUACCUUUUCUUUUUGUUUUCUCUUCGGGUUGUGUGCAUCCUGAAUGUCUUUAUGACAUAUUGUUGAUGUAGAGGCUGUGUGUAAUUGGUAUCUUCAUGAUAUUAAUAUAUCCCUGUCUUUUUUAAAACAAACAAACAAGAAGGCAUGAACUAUUGUGGUCUCGCACUGCGCACGAAAGAUGUUUGGUGGGAGGAGCCUCCUAGCGGUUCUAGGGGGCAAGGGACUUUGUUAUUGAAAUCGACGUUCGGAAAGAAAAGAAAUGUCCUUGCUACUCCACAACUAUCCGCCGCUAUUACUAGAUCACGCUCGGUUUCUGCAUCAUUACGAUGCACACAACCAUACAUUUACUAAGGUUCACACACCUUCUAAAUUGCUGAAAAUGCUAUCUCCAAAUGAUUACACCAUACAAAAACCUUAUUUGACAUUUUUUUUCAUAGCAUGAAUUCUUUUUAGAAAUAUAUAGAUCUUGGUGGAAAUAUUUUCAUUAAUUACUUUGACAACAUUUCCGGUUAUUCAGAGGGACAAUCUGCAUAGCUGUUGCAUGCCCCGAUAUGUACCGCGGCCGCUAUGAUUGCUCAAUAACAAGGUUUGGUCAAUCAUCGGGGUGAAAAGGGAAGAAGAAAGGGACUCCUCUCCUGGCUUCCUCUUCACACCCCUGUUCCCGUCCCGGCCGCGGCACCCCGUCCCUAACCAGUAACCACCAUCGCUUCAGCCUCCACACUUCAUUGACUUAAAGCAAUCGCCCAGUCCAGUACACCGAUGGCUGACCGCUGACGCCAGAUCGAUCGGGAGCCCCAGCUCGCCGGUGAGUCCAUUCUGGAUCGGCUCAUCGGUGGAGCCGUGCAUGCCUCAGUUUCCUUCGUCACCAUUAUAAAUACCGCCCCACCCACACGCCGGCGAACACAUCGGCGCACACACACAGUCACGCACUAGGCAUUUCUUUCUUUCCCCGUCCGUCCGUGCGUGCUCUCCGGAGCCCACGCACCACGACGUAGUACGCCUCCCCUCCCGCUUUCUCUUUCUCUUUCUCGCUCGCGGGAUGGGGAUAAAGUGGCCGGGCCAAUGCGGCGCGGCGGCGUCGCUGGCCCUGCUUCUCGUCCUCCUCGUCGCCGCGCCGCCGCGGGGAUGCGUUGCGGCUGCGGGGAGCGGCGGGGGAGGGCUCACGAGGGGCAGCUUCCCCAAGGGGUUCGUCUUCGGCACCGCCUCGGCCGCGUACCAGGUUCGUUGGCUGCCACUUUCCUCGAUCUCUCUCGCUGGUCCGCCGCGCGUUCAUGGAUCUUGGCGAAUCUGACAUGAUGGCGCCACUGAUUUUUUUUUACUUCUGUCUUCGUGCAUGCGCGCCAGUUCUAGUGCCACUGCCAUGCAUGUUGUGUCUGAGGAUGAACAAGCGUACAUGAUCAUAUUUUACGCGUGCGGUUUUUAAGUUUUUCAACUUUGGCUGUUGCCCUCAUUACAUGUUAUUAAUCGAGGUCGUCGAUGAUUUGCUUGGAACAAAUUGACGAAUCUUUGGUUUGGAUUCCUUGCAAAAAAAAAAUGAUUACUGCCUAAGAUGCGUAGAGUAUUAGUAGUGCGAAGAGCUCGAAGAGUAUAUACCCCGUCAUAGCUAGGAGGAAGAGGACCAUGCCCCUAAGCAUCGUUGGCCUUGCUGUAAGCAUCACCAUGGGAUGGGAGGGACAUGGGAGCCUAGAGGCCAAGUGGUGGACAAAAAAGAGGUUGGAAGGAACAAAAGUUGUAUUCUUGUCUUGUGGCCUUGGGUUUGCUUUCUGACGGUGGCCUUUUGGACCCUCCUCCUCGUCUGCAGCCUGCCUACCAUCUCUGUUUGUGUAUCCAUCGGUCGUGCAUAGGCCAUCCACCUCAAGCAUAAAUUUCACCGUGGAUGCGCGUACACGGCAAAGUUGCACACAAAGUUAAAGAAAGAAGACACUAGAUUUUCAUCCGAGGUGAAAAAGACAUUGUCUGGCAAGCUAAAUGUUUUUCACUCUUAUAAACAUGAUCCACUCUCUCUAGGUCUCUCUGUCUCUAUCUAUCUCUUUCUUCAAAUAUUAUUAAACUCCAUUAACAGCACUAAUUUUAUUCUCCCAAGAAAGGAAAUAUUUGAUGCGCGAUUAAGUGUACUGCUAGACCCAGUGGCCCCUGCCAGAUUUUGUGUAGCCAAUUAAUUACUGCCCAACUCAUUGCCAUCCAUGCCAACAAGAUUAUGCAGAAGAGACCGGUCGUCUCAAUCAAGGAGCAGGAGCAGGGGCAGGUACGCAUGCAUGCUCUACGUACCCGACCUGUCAUCAUCUCUCGGGACGGAUGCAUAUAUUCUCUUCUCCCGUGCCCCCUGUCCGUCGGCGCCGCGCUAGCUGCCUGCCUAGCCUAGCUGCUUGACCGUGGGUGCGAAACCUGCCGAAAACGACCGGAAUUUUCCAAGGUUCACGGGCGGCACGCGUCCGGUGGAGAGGACGGUGCCCAUUCGCGCGCGGCUCGCAUGCCCCCACUGGCAGUGUAACCGUUCUCUUCCUCCCAAAUCGUACGUUUGACCUGUGUUGUGUGGACGCACAACGCUGUCAUGACGGGAUCAAUUAUACGGAGUAGUACUGAAUGCUACUUCAAUAACGUCAAAGGUAUUAGAAAACUAAUGCAUCGAAACCCUUCGCCGAUCAAAAGCUUGAAUGAAGACACCCGAUCGGCCCGACUUUCCCAAAUAUCGGCCACCAGCCCUUUUCCUGUAGUACGGGUCUUGAUUUCUUGUCUUAUUUUUGUUUUAAUCGUGGUGAUCGCCCGGGAAGAAAGAAAUGAAUGAAUGUACUUUUGGGAAAAUGUAGAAUAAUACACCUACCGAGGCGAAAGCCGAGGGCGAGUUUCGUAGGUGGACGUAUCGAACUAAAAUAAGAUCUAAGAUUGAGUAUCCUAUUUCCAUAGGCUCGAAUGACCCAUUCUCAUAAUAAGAAUGUGCACGGUCUGGUUCGGUACGGAAUGAACUUAUAGUCUGAUGAUCGAGUCGAUUCCAUGAUUAUAUGUUCAUAACCUAGCGCCCAUUUUCAUUUUGGGCAGAACAGAUCUACUAAUUAUUUUAUUCCAGUUAGUAAGAGGGAUCUUGAACUAAGAAAUAGACCUAGCAGCUAAAAGAGGGUAUCCUGAGCAAUUGUAAGAAUGGGGUUCAUUGAUAUUCCUAAUAUAGUAGAUGCCACAUACAGUCAUACUCAAUUCGCGUAUCCAUAUUAAUUUUCACUCAUUUAGUAUAGUACUAAAUCAACAACGAUUAAUAUAUAUGGAUUUGAUUUUAAGACGAGCUCGACCUGCAGUUCAUGGCUCGACCGAAUAAAUCUUCAUUCUUCAAAAUAAAUCUUUUGUUGUUUUGUACUCCCUCUGUUUUUAUUUACUUCGCAUAUUAGCUUUGGUCAAAAUCAAACUUUAUAAAAUUUGACAAAGUUUAUAGAAAAAAUAUUAACAUAUACAAUAACAAAUCAAUACAUUUAGAUUCAUUAUUGAAUAUACUUUCACAUCACAUAGAUUUGCUAUUGUACAUGUUUAUAUUCUUUUCUAUAUAUAAAUUUGGUCAAACUUUAUAAAGUUUAGUUUCAGUCAAACCUAAUAUGCAGAAUAAAUAAAAACAAAGAGGUACUACUGAAUAACUUGUCUUAUGUUGUAAUAAUAUCCACUUGUGCAGUACGAGGGGGCGGUGAAGGUGGACGGGAGAGGGCAGACCAUCUGGGACACCUUCGCGCACACCUUCGGUAUGUACUUUACUUCUCCUGUAUUACUUCUCUACUCCUAUAAAAGACUCAGUUGAUGAUGGUGGUGUGUCUGUCAACCAUCAUUUCCGACCAUUAAUCUGCAUCUAACGACUAUGGGGUAAGUUAUGCUAUUUUUACAACACUAGCCCACUUCUCUGCUUCAAUUUGCAAAAAAAAAAAACCUUAGUAUCUUCAAACCAACCACAUCCCUCCCUCACCUCAUCAAAAUAGCUCGAGGAAUAUAUUUUAAAUGAAACAUAAUAUAUUUUUAGUGAUAAAUGUAUAUCAAAGAGUGUUUUCUUUUAAAUUUAUGACCAAAUAGUAUUUUACGUUAAAUCCGUUGCAACGGAUAGGCACAUUGCUACUACCACUAACCAGAGACAGUACCCCAAAGCUAGUCCUCUCAGUGCCUACAGCUACAGUGCAGCCACGUGCAUCGUUAAGAGCAUCUCCAGCCGUUGGCCUCCCAGGAGGGGCUAAAAAUCGUCCCUGGGGGCGCACCGGCGCUAAACCGCGCGCUGGGGGCGUGAUGCCCCCAGUUGCGGCACCCACGUUUUUUUGAAAAACUUAAAUACGGCGCAAACACGGCUCAAAUUUAACGCAAACAUCGGCAAGUUCGUUCAAAUUUAAACAUAUUUUAUAAAAAAAGAAAAAAAACUACUAGGGGCUGCUCCUUGCCGUCUCCAUCGCCGUUCCUCGCCAUCUCCCUCGCCGCUCCUCGCCCGUCCUUGCAGUUCUACAUGCCGAGGAGGCUGUAGAACCGCGUGUACUCGCCGCCGUCGUCAUCGUCAUCGUCGUCGCCGCCGCCUCCUCCGCCGCCGUCCCUGCUGCAUCCCUCCCCUGGUUGGCGCGGCGGGUUGGACGGUCCGGGGGCGUCCUCGUCGUCGUCGCUGUCGAGGAUCACGGCGCCGUGCUCGUCCUCGCGCCCACGUUUGUGGGCUUGUAUCUCCUCCAGGGCCCGGCGCUGCCGGACCAACUCGUCGCGGUAGUAGUCGUCCCGCGCCCACUGUAGGGCCUCCUCGUCGGAGAAGCCACGUCGGGCUAUCUCCUCGUACUCCGAGGGGAGGCCGGGCUUCGGCUUGGGCUCGACGAGGACGAAGCGGCCGGAGGGGGGUGGAGUCGCCGAUGCGGACGCCGGAGCGACGGGUGCGCGCGCUGACAGGCGUGUCCUGGGGCUCCGGCUUGACGGGGCGGAGGCAGGGAGAGCCGGACGAGCGGCCGGAUGAGGAGGAGGACGCCCCGGGCCACUCCAUGCGCCUCGGCGUCCAGGAGCUCCCACGGCGGCGUGAGAAGGACGGGGGAGAGGGGUACUCGAGGCGCGGCAUGUUGCCGCCCUCGAUGUACUCGAGGACGGCCUCCAACGUGCGGCCGGGCACGCCCCACCACCGGCGUCGGCCCUCGGAGUUGAGCCUGCCGGAGGGCACGACGCCGUUCGUCGCCUCGAGCUGUUCGGCAUGGCGGCGGCGGAAGUAGGGCUCCCAGAGCGGGCUGUCGGGGGCGUACCGCGGGCCUUCCCUCGCCGCCCGCGGCAGGGACGCGCGGAUACGUGCGAUCUCCGCACGCCGCGCCGCCCCGGUGGGUGGUGGUGGCACCGGCACGCCGCCGGCGCUGAUCCUCCACGCCCCGGGCACCCGCAUGUCCGGCGGGACCGAGUACUCGGCCUCGAAAAGGAGGCGAGCCUCGUCCUCGUGAAGAUGGCGGCGCCCGAAGCCAUUCGCCGCCGCGCCCUCGCCUGGGAAGCGCUCGGCCAUUCUUCUGAGCUGGAGACGGCGAGAGGAGGCGAGGGAGGAAGGGGAAGAAAUGGGCGCGUCGGCGGUGGAGGAUCUGUGCGUGUCUCCAGCGCGCUGGUGGUCGGCUUAUAUAGGCGGAGGCGCCGCGUACUACGCGUGGCCGGCGCGUUACGCGUGGCGGGCGAGGGGACGCGCGUCGCCCGGCCUUCACUGCGCCGCCCGUGAGGCAUCAAUGGAGGUUGACCGGCGCGGCAGCGCGCGCAGCUUUGGCAUUGAUUCGCCGCGGGGAACAAGGCGACGAGGACAACGAAGCGGCGAGAAGAGAGUCGAGUCGCUGGCAAGGGGGGCCCGCGGCUCUUCGCGCCAAAAACGAUUCGCCCGGCGCCCCCGAGCGCCCCCAGCGCGCCGGAUUCGGGUUGGGUCCGCCGGCGGCAAUUUCGGCCCGAGCUGGCGAAAACUGGGCCCUUGGAGGUGCGACUGGGCCAUUUUUUUGACGCCGGCGGCCAAAAAAUCGCCUGGGGGACUUUGUUGGGGUGCGGCUGGAGAUGCUCUAAGAAUAAGGGCUUAGAUGCUCGUAAUUUACCAUCGCAACGUGCACCGCCGCACUAGGAUACACGUCAGUGACUGGAUAAGCUAGACGUCAACUCACGAUAGAGACACAAACAUGCCUGGCCGGCCUGACAUUCAGUGCCGUGUAACUUCUUUCCUUGGAUUACCCGUUUGUGUCAACCGAGUUACAAGCGCCACUGCCUUGGGUGCAAGAAGCUUUACCACCACGUAAAUGGAGCUCCCAUCUCUGUCAAGGAAUGGUGGAACGCCUCAGCGCGCAAGUCCAAUCAUUGGGUCGUGGUCAUAUUCAUAUCGCGGCACUAACUAGCAGUCUCUCUUUCCCCGCCGAGUCUAAGCCAGCUUUGACCGAAAGUGCCCCCGAAGUUAGUGUUCCUUGUUUGUUGCAAUGCUUACUUUCUCUUAAAAAAGCGUGGAUAUGUAGUGGCGCAAAGCAAAACACAUUGUGCAUGCGCGCCCUGAUUGAUGUGCAUGUCCCACCUACCACCCCUUCUGCACUCACCAGAUUUGCAUUCCAAGCAGUGGAGUACAUCGACAAGGCAGCGCUGAUCUAGCCAUACUGUGUUUAGUUCAGUUUGAGAAUGUAUCUAAUAAGCUGAAAUUGUGGGCAAGGAUUAACUGAACUCGCUGCAUUAGGCAGCCAUCAUUAACUGAACGGUGCUUCUGCCUCUUCCCCCCUUCUCUCUAUGUGCAGGAAAGAUCACUGACUUCAGCAAUGCGGACGUCGCGGUGGAUCAGUACCACCGUUUCGAGGUGAGCACUACGUUACAUCCACUGAUCUGUAUAGGAGUAGUGUUGUGUAGCGUAGGAGGUCUUGCGCAUCUCGACGUGAUUGCUGCUUUGGGAAUGAUGCAUGGUGGUUUCUUGUCUGUCAGGAGGACAUACAGCUGAUGGCGGACAUGGGGAUGGACGCGUACCGCUUCUCCAUCGCCUGGGCCAGGAUCCUCCCAAGUAGGCCGCCCAUCUCCACCUCAAAUCAUCAGAUUUGUCAGUGAUCUCAGCCAGACCGCUCUCUGCCCUGACAUGUGCAAACGUUCUCUGAGUGUGUCUUUUUUCAGAUGGCGUUGGUCAGGUCAACCAGGCCGGCAUCGACCACUACAACAAACUCAUCAACGCACUGCUCGCUAAAGGCGAGUGCAAUCGCAACACGUACCUAUCUGCAUUUGUAGUCCUGCUUGAUCGGCACUGACACAUGUGAAAUUCAUACAUAUCUUGCAGGGAUUCAGCCAUAUGUGACCCUGUACCACUGGGACCUCCCCCAGGCCCUGGAGGACAAGUACAACGGGUGGCUCGACAGGCAGAUUGUGUGAGCACACGCCACCCUAGCUCUUAACCUGCAACUCUUCUUGCAACUUAACCAACGGUAGAUUCACGGCUUACAGUAAGCGCAUGAUUUCUCCAUGGUAAAAACAAAUGGUUAAAAACGCAGGGAUGACUUCGCGGAGUACGCCGAGACAUGCUUCGCGGCGUUCGGCGACAGGGUGAAGCACUGGAUCACGGUGAACGAGCCGCACACGGUGGCCAUCCAGGGCUACGACGCCGGGCUGCAGGCGCCGGGGCGCUGCUCCGUGCUGCUCCACCUCUACUGCAAGUCCGGCAACUCCGGCACCGAGCCCUACAUCGUCGCCCACAACUUCAUCCUCGCCCACGCCGCCGUCUCCCACGCGUACAGGACCAAGUACAAGGUGAUCGUCCGUGCAACCAUCCCCAUAGACGAUGCGGAUUCAUAUCCUGACCAUGUCCACUGUCGCACUGUUGGAAACUGCUGCAGGCGGCGCAGAACGGGGAGCUCGGCAUGGCGUUCGACGUGAUGUGGUACGAGCCCAUGUCGUCCGCCGCGAUCGACGUCGAGGCGACCAAGCGGGCGCAGGAGUUCCAGCUGGGGUGGUUCGCGGACCCCUUCUUCUUCGGCGACUACCCGGCCACCAUGCGGAAGCGGGUCGGGGAGAGGCUGCCGAGGUUCACGGCGGAGGAGGCCGCGCUCGUCAAGGGGGCGCUCGACUUCGUGGGCAUCAACCACUACACCACCUACUACACCAGGCACAACGACACCGACAUCAUCGUCCGGCUGCUCAACGACACCCUCGCAGACACCGGCACCAUCAGCCUGCGUCAGUCACCUCUCUGAACCCCCCUCAAGUUUUUACCCUCCCGUUCGUGGUGGAAAUGAGAAUAUUGAUGUUUUUGGCGAUUUGCAGCAUUCAAGAACGGCAGAGCGAUUGGGGAUAGGGUGAGUCCGGCAUGCACACAUUAUCUCCAAGAUUAUCGUGCUAGUAAACUGUAAAACUGUAUGUGAUUGAACUGAAGAGUGAUGCUACUAUGCAGGCGAACUCGAUAUGGCUGUACAUUGUGCCCAGAGGGAUGAGGAGCCUGAUGAACCAUGUCAAGAACAGGUACAACAGCCCGCCAAUCUACAUCACCGAAAACGGUAAGAGCAUGAGGAGCCUGGAUUAUGAUCCUGCAGCUAAAUAGAUAUGAGAUUCAGCGCUCUAACAGUGUGUGAUUGCUGAUCAUGCUGGUGCAGGGAUGGAUGACAGCAGCAGCCCCUUCAUUGCCCUCAAGGACGCCCUCAAGGACACCAAGCGGAUCAAGUACCACAACGACUACCUCACCAAUCUGGCCGCCUCCAUAAAGUAUUGCACUCUACUACUACCACUUCUGAAUUUCUGCCAAUUUUCACAUUGCCAUGGCUGCAUUUUUAGCAAAAAAAAGUGCACGGUUUGCGCAAUGUUUGUUUCAGUAAGAGUCUUACGUGUUUUGGUGUGGUGGUUGAUGCAGGGAGGACGGGUGCGACGUGCGCGGCUACUUCGCGUGGUCGCUGCUGGACAACUGGGAGUGGGCGGCCGGGUACACGUCCAGGUUCGGGCUCUACUUCGUGGACUACAACGAUAAGCUCAAGAGGUACCCCAAGAGCUCGGUGCAGUGGUUCAAGAGCCUCCUCAGCUCCAGUUGAGAUCGAGCUACGAGCACUUUGCUAGGUCAUUGGUUUGUGCUCGUGUGCAUGGUGUGGUUGCAUGUAUUGUCAUCGUGUCUGUCUGUUGCUGCCAGUAUGUUAGGAUGAUACACACGUCUGGGGUUUCAGAGUUAGAAGGUGUUGUCUUCAUGGAUUGUAUAGCUUCUACUUGUGGUCCUUGGGCGUUUUCUUCGCAAUAUAUACACACACACACAAGGGCAGACAUAUACCAAUUGAAAUAUUUGUGUAUACACACCGUGUCCAGUGGGUUUCCUGGUAGUGCUGAACUCGCUUUUCCGUCUCCUAUAAACAUCUGAACUGUAUUUCCGUUACAAGUAACGGAAAGGGGAAUAUCCUGGUUCAGAAAAAAAUGUAUACACACACAGACACUCACACCAAAGUACAAAAUACCUUUUUCUUUUCUUUCUACUACUCCCUCCGUUUCUAAAUAUUUGUCUUUUUAGAGAUUUCAAAUGGACUACCACAUACGGAUGUAUAUAGACAUAUUUUAAAGUGUAGAUUCACUCAUUUUGCUUCGUAUGUAGUCACUUGUUGAAAUAUUUAGAAAGACAAAUAUUUAGAAACGGAGAGGGUAGAAUACAUCGUCACGUCCUGUCCAGCAAGCUCUCGCGUCGUUCUCCUCCCUGUGUCGGCCUUGCUGCUCGGCGUGAAGAUCCGCGAGAUCGAUGACAGGUGGUUGAGGAUGCGGGUGUGUUGGCACAGGGCGUCGCCAUCCUAGGUGUGGCGGCCCUGGGUGUGGCACGCUCGGUUGCCGGUUAGACGGUCGGUCAUCGUCGGUGGGUGCAGCUCAAUCAACUCCAGAGCUGGUGACGGCCAUAGGGCGGUGCGGUGCUACGAGGUGCUACGAACGCACGACAUGACUGAUAUGCACACGGUAUGUGCCUAGGGACCUUCAAGCUUCAAUGUUGUUGGUAGCCCGCCGCCGUUCCCCUAGUGGCAAUGGUUGUGGCGGCUACUGCAGGUGGCCGGGAGGAUCAUAAGGAUCCUUUACCUCUUGCAUAUAGUGGCUAUUGCCUGUGGCUCGUACUGGCAAUGUUGCGGGACGCGGCCGGAAGGCUGCUUUGUGGAGUUUGGCAUCUCUCGCUGCGGCCAGUUUGCCUUUGUCAUGCAAUCUACGGAUGGCGGCCUAGCGCAGAGGGUAUGGUUGUGCAGCGACGGUUGUAGGAUUUCUGGCCUAGCAUAUGAAGCUGCUGGGAUUACGGAAAAAUGGUGACGAACACAUGAUUGACCUUGAUUUGGUGGUGCUUUUUGCGACCUGGUCUCGAGCCCCUAGGCAAAACCUCGAUCUGACCCGGGUUGGUUAUACCUGACAAUAGCGAUAUUUUUGCAUCAUUGCUUUGUUGAAGGCAUUGCUCGUAUAUGCUCGGACUUAUUCUUCAAGGUGAAAACUUACUAGCUAGCCUCUAGUGGUUGGAUUCGAGGCGCUUCAGAGUCGUUACCUUAUUGAAGGUAUUGUUGUUGGAAAACUCCGCAAUCAUUGUGGUGUAUGAGAUAGUUGGUGUGGAUAUAGUUGUUGUUGUAGUUUGGUCCGUCGUUGUUUUGAUAUCCUCGAGGUUCUCCCCUUUUUCCUUGCCUAGGCAAAUAUUCGAUCUUGUAUGAUUUUGCUAUUUGCCGGCGUGUUUUCUUUUUUGUGUGUGUAUUCAUUGAUGUUGGUUGUGUGCAUUCUAAUUAUGCAGAUGUUAGAUGUAUGCCAAUUACUUUUGUAUCCUCUUAAUGCUUCAUUAUGAGUCAAUAAAUCCAAAAAAACCAAUAAAUGUAUCGUACAAAGAAAUCCAAAGCAUCGCCCUUUGGCGCUAACACUCCCACUACCACUACAAUGAGAAAUGACACGCCCUAUCAAAUCUUGAGUUCAGAAUGGCAAGGAGGCGAGACACAUGGCGUCAAGAGUGCUUCUUGAGCAAUGUCGGGUACCUCCAAUGGACUAGCGUAACUUUGGUACAAACCGAAUCAACGCCUCCCUCAUACGCCUACAGUAGUCGGCAAGUGGAUGGCAGAACCGGCUGGACCUGAGAAAUUUGUUGUCUUGGAAGCACUGGCAAUGGUAUACAUUGCACGCUUGAAGUUAAACCCGGGCAUAAGAACUGAAGACCAAAGGCCGAACUCGUAAUGAUCGAGAUCGAAUCCAUGUAGACUGGCCUAUAAAAGACGGAACUAAAAUCGGUCAUCAAAACUGAAUGACCAGAUUAAGUUCGGGGGGAUUGCCCUUCUUCUCUGGAUGACCGGAUAACUUAGAUAGGCCAAAUUAACACAAUUCUCUCGAUGUUUAUGGCACAACUAGCACAACUCCUCCUCUUCUAUGGAUGUUUAUGGCACAAUUUUGGUUGAAUACACCUAUUGCAUACGAAUUUUUGGGGCAUACACCUGUUAUACAUACAUGUUGUCUGAAUUCUGCUUGCAUACACCUGUAUUGUAAUGUGCAUGAAUCUAAGUUGUAGUGCGGAAUUCCGUCUAUUUGAUUGGGAUAGAUCACCAUCCUAUAAAGACCGAAGACCAAAUAGUGGGGAAUUGAGAAGACCGAAAUAAUUUCGGUCAUCUCAGUCGCUCGCCUAAGAUGAGUCACUGAAGACCGUAUUUUUGAAAGACCAAAAUUACUGGACCGAGCAAAUCCAAAAGAUCGUACGCCCGGGCGUACCUAAAGCCGUGUGAUGUCUACUGAUGUUUACUACACAACCUUCUUCUUAUAGACGUUGUUGGACCUCCAAGUGCAGAGGUUUGUAGGACAGUAGCAAAUUUUUCUAAAGUGGAUGACCUAAGGUUUAUCAAUUCAUGGGAGACGUAGGAUGAAGAUGGUCUCACUCAAACAACCCUGCAACCAAAUAACAGAGAGUCUCUUGUAUCCCCAACACACCCAAUACAAUGGUAAAUUGUAUAGGUGCACUAGUUCGGCGAAAAGAUGGUGAUACAAGUGCAACAUGGAUGAUAGAUAUAGGUUUUUGUAAUAUGAAAUUAUAAAAACAGCAAGGUAACUAUUGAUAAAAGUGAGCACAAACGGUAUUGCAUUGCGUUGAAACAAGGCCUAGGGUUCAUACUUUCACUAGUGCAAGUUCUCUCAACAAUAAUAACAUAAUUGGAUCAUAUAACUAUCCCUCAACAUGCAACAAAGAGUCACUCCAAAGUCACUAAUAACGGAGAACAAACGAAAAGAUUAUGGUAGGGUACGAAACCACCUCAAAGUUAUUCUUUCUGAUCAAUCUAUUCAAAAGUCUGUAGUAAAAUAACACGAAGCUAUUCUUUCCGUUCGAUCUAUCAUAGAGUUCGUACUAGAAUAACACCUUAAGACACAAAUCAACCAAAACCCUAAUGUCACCUAGAUACUCCAAUGUCACCUCAAGUAUCCGUGGGUAUGAUUAUACGAUAUGCAUCACACAAUCUCAUAUUCAUCUAUUCAACCAACACAAAGAACUUCGAAGAGUGCCCCAAAGUUUCUACCGGAGAGUCAAGACGAAAACGUGUGCCAACCCCUAUGCAUAAGUUCACAAUGUUACGGAACCCACAAGUUGAUCACCAAAACAUACAUCAAGUGGAUCACGUGAAUAUCCCAUUGUCACCAUAGAUAAGCACAUGCAAGACAUACAUCAAGUGUUCUCAAAUCCUUAAAGACUCAAUCCAAUAAGAUAACUUCAAAGGGAAAACUCAAUCCAUCACAAGAGAAUAGAGGGGGAGAAACAUCAUAAGAUCCAACUAUAAUAGCAAAGCUCGCGAUACAUCAAGAUCGUGCCAAACCAAGAACACGAGAGAGAGAGAGAGAGAGAGAGAUCAAACACAUAGCUACUGGUACAUAACCUCAGCCCCGAGGGUGAACUACUCCCUCCUCAUCAUGGAGAGCGCCGGGAUGAUGAAGAUGGCCACCGGUGAUGGAUCCCCCCCUCCGGCAAGGUGCCGGAACAGGGUCUCGAUUGGUUUUUGGUGGCUAUAGAGGCUUGCGGCGGCGGAACUCCCGAUCUUGGUUAUGUUCUGGGGGUUUCUGUAUAUAUAAGAGGUUUUGGCGACGGGGACAAGUCAGGGGGGGUCUCCGAGGCGGCCACGAGGUAGGGGGCGCCCAGGGGGGUAGGGCGCGCCCUCCACCCUCGUGGGUGCCUCGGGACUCUUCUGGUCCAUCUCCGAUGCUCCGUGGGCUUCUUCUGGUCCAAAAAUAAUCUCCAUCAAAUUUCAGGUCAAUUGGACUCCGUUUGGUUUUCCUUUUCUGCAAUACUCAAAAACAAGGCAAAAACAGAAACUGGCACUGGGCUCUAGGUUAAUAGGUUAGUCCCAAACAUCAUAUAAAAUAGCAUAUAAAUGCAUAUAAAACAUCCUAGAUGGAUAAUAUAAUAGCAUGAAACAAUCAAAAAUUAUAGAUACAUUGGAGACGUAUCAAGCAUCUCCAAGCUUAAUUCCUACUCGUCCUCGAGUAGGUAAAUGAUAAAAACAGAAUUUUUGAUGUGGAAUGCUACCUAACAUAUUUAUCAAUGUAAUCUUCUUUAUUGUGGCAAGAAUAUUCAGAUCCAUAAGAUUCAAAACAAAAGUUUAAUAUUGACAUAAAAACAAUAAUAUUUCAAGCAUACUAACAAAGCAAUCAUGUCUUCUCAAAAUAACAUGGCCAAAGAAAGUUAUCCCUACAAAAUCAUAUAGUCUGGCUAUGCUCUAUCUUCAUCACACAAAAUAUUUAAAUCAUGCACAACCCCGAUGACAAGCCAAGCAAUUGUUUCAUACUUUUGAUGUUCUCAAACUUUUUCAAUUUGCACGCAAUACAUGAGCGUGAGCCAUGGACAUAACACUAUAUGUGGAAUAGAAUGGUGAUUGUGGAGAAGACAAAAAGGAGAAGAUAGUCUCACAUCAACUAGGCGUAUCAACGGGCUAUGGAGAUGCCCAUCAAUAGAUAUCAAUGUGAGUGAAUAGGAUUGCCAUGCAACGGAUGCACUAGAGCUAUAAGUAUAUGAAAGCUCAACAAAAGAAACUAAGUGGGUGUGCAUCCAACUCGCUUGCUCACGAAAACCUAGGGCAUUUUGAGGAAUCCCAUCAUUGGAAUAUGCAAGCCAAGUUCUAUAAUGUAAAAUUCCCACUAGUAUAUGAAAGUGACAACAUAGGAGACUCUCUAUCAUGAAGAUCAUGGUGCUACUUUGAAGCACAAGUGUGGUAAAAGGAUAGUAGCAUUGUCCCUUCUCUCUUUUUCUCUCUUUUUUUUUGUUUUUUUGGGCCUUCUCUUUUUUUAUGGCCUCUUUUUUUUCGUCCGGAGUCUCAUCCCGACUUGUGGGGGAAUCAUAGUCUCCAUCAUCCUUUCCUCACUGGGACAAUGCUCUAAUAAUGAAGAUCAUCACACUUUUAUUUACUUACAACUCAAGAAUUACAACUCGAUAUUUAGAACAAAAUAUAACUCUAUAUGAAUGCCUCCGGCGGUGUACCGGGAUGUGCAAUGAAUCAAGAGUGACGUGUAUGAAAGAAUUAUGAAGGUGGCUUUGCCACAAAUACGAUGUCAACUACAUGAUCAUGCAAAGCAAUAUGACAAUGAUGGAGUGUGUCAUAAUAAACGGAACGGUGGAAAGUUGCAUGGCAAUAUAUCUCGGAAUGGCUAUGGAAAUGCCAUAAUAGGUAGGUAUGGUGGCUGUUUUGAGGAAGGUAAUGGUGGGUGUAUGGUACCGGCGAAAGGUGCGCGAUAUUAGAGAGGCUAGCAAUGGUGGAAGGGUGAGAGUGCGUAUAAUCCAUGGACUCAACAUUAGUCAUAAAGAACUCACAUACUUAUUGCAAAAAUAUAUUAGUUAUCGAAACGAAGUACUACGUGCAUGCUCCUAGGGGGAUAGAUUGGAAGGAAAAGACCAUCGCUCGUCCCCGACCGCCACUCAUAAGGAAGAUAAUCAAAAAAUAAAUCAUGCUCCGACUUCAUCAUAUAACGGCUCACCAUACGUGCAUGCUACGGGAAUCACAAACUUUAACACAAGUAUCUCUCAAAUUCACAACUACUCAACUAGCAUGACUCUAAUAUCACCAUAUUCAUAUCUCAAAAAAAUCAUAACGAAUCAAACUUCUCAUAGUAUUCAAUGCACUUUAUAUGAAAGUUUUUAAUAUAUCCCUCUUGGAUGCCCAUCAUGUUAGGACUAAUUUUGUAACCAAAGCAAAUUACCAUGAUGUUUAGGACUCUCAAAAUAAUAUAAGUGAAGCAUGAGAGUUAAUCAAUUUCUAUAAAAUAAAACCACCACCGUGCUCUAAAAGAUAUAAGUGAAGCACUAGAGCAAACGACAAACUACUCCAAAAGAUAUAAGUGAAGAUCAAUGAGUAGUCGAAUAAUUGUGCAACUAUGUGAAGACUCUCUAACAUUUAAGAAUUUCAAAUAUUAAUAUUUUAUUCAAACAUCAAGCAAAACAAACUAAAAUAAAAUGACGCUCCAAGCAAAACACAUAUCAUGUGGUGAAUAAAAAUAUAGCUCCAAGUAAAGUUACCGAUGAACGAAGACGAAAGAGGGGAUGCCAUCCGGGGCAUCCCCAAGCUUAGGCUCUUGGUUGUCCUUGAAUAUUACCUUGGGGUGCCUUGGGCAUCCCCAAGCUUAGGCUCUUGCCACUCCUUAUUCCAUAGUCCAUCGAAUCUUUACCCAAAACUUGAAAACUUCACAACACAAAACUCAACAGAAAACUCGUAAGCUCCGUUAGUAUAAGAAAAUAAAUCACUACUUAGGUACUGUUGUGAACUCAUUCUAAAUUCAUAUUGGUGUAAUAUAUACUGUAUUCCAACUUCUCUAUGGUUCAUACCCUCCGAUACUACUCAUAGAUUCAUCAAAAUAAGCAAACAACACAUAGAAAACAGAAUCUGUCAAAAACAGAACAGUCUGUAGUAAUCUGUAUCAAACAUAUACUUCUGGAACUCCAAAAAUUCUAAAAUAAAUUGGUGGACGUAAGGAAUUUUUCUAUUAAUCUUCUGCAAAAAUAAUCAACCUAAAAGCACUCUCCAGUAAAAAAUGGCAGCUAAUCUAGUGAGCGCAAAAGUUUCUGUUUUUUACAGCAAGAUCGCAAAGACUUCACCCAUGUCUUCCCAAAGGUUCUACUUGGCACAAACACUAAUUAAAACAUAAAACCACAUCUAACAAGAGGCGAGAUAGAAUAUUUAUUACUAAACAUUAGCAAAAGGCAAAGAACAAAAAUAAAAUUGGGUUGCCCCCCAACAAGCGCUAACAUUUAACGCCCCUAGCUAGGCAUGAUGAUUUCAAUGAUGCUCACAUAAAAGAUAAGAAUUGAAACAUAAAGAGAGCAUCAUGAAGAAUAUGACUAGCACAUUUAAGUCUAACCCACUUCCUAUGCAUAGGGAUGUUGUGAGCAAACAACUUAUGGGAACAAUAAUCAACUAGCAUAGGAAGACAAAACAAGCAUAACUUCAAAACUUUAAGCACAUGGAGAGGAAACUUGAUAUUAUUGCAAUUCCUACAAGCAUAUGUUCCUCCCUUAUAAUAAUUUUCAGUAGCAUCAUGAAUGAAUUCAACAAUGUAGCCAUCACAUAAAGCAUUCUUUUCAUGAUCUACAAGCAUAGAAAAUUUACUACUCUCCACAUAAGCAAAAUUCUUCUCAUUCGGAAUAGUGGAGUAUCAUAAGAAACUCGAAUACUAUAAAUUGUUUCCACAUUAAAAGAGUAAUGAUCAGAAAAAGGGUAAUCAUAAUCAUGACAAGUUUUAUAAAUAUAAUCAUCACUACUUUUUAUAGCAUAAGUGUCAUCACAAUAAUCAUCAUAAGUAGCAACUUUGUUCUCAUCAUAAUCGAUUGAAACCUCUUCCAAGAUAGUGGAAUCAUUACUAAAUAAAGUCAUGACCUCUCCAAAUCCACUUUCAUCAAUAUAACCAUCAUAAAUAGGAGGCAUUCUAUCAUCAUAAUAAAUUUGCUCAUCAAAACUUGGGAGGCUAAAAGUAUCAUCUUCAUUAAACAUAGCAUCCCCAAGCUUGGGACGAACAUUAAUUGCAGCAAAUAAAUUCUCAAACAUGUCAUCCUCAUCAAACAUAGCAUCCGCAAGUUUGGGCCUUUUCAUAUCAUAAGCAUAAUCACUCUCAUCAUUAAUAGUAUGGAUAGCACCAAUAUAUAGUAUAGCAAUUAUCAUAAUCACAAUGAGUAAUAGGAGCAACAACAUUUGGGAGGGAUACCUUUUCACCUUUGCUUCUUCGUCUUUUCUUUUUCUUCUUCACAUUAUGCGUGGGUUUAAUCCUCAUUUUGGAGCUCCUUAUUAAUGAGAUGGGUUGAAUAGAAGGCUCCUACUCGUUACCUGAUUCAUCAUAAGAAAUAAUAGGAAGAUGUUGGGAAGUCUCUUCCUUUCAUUAGUAUUCUCUUCAUCUUCUUUUUGUUUUCUCGUCUUUAUGUAAUUGGCAAUAUAAGGAUUUUCAAUGCAAUUCACCGCACAAUACAUAAGAAUUUAUUCUAGAUCAAAAUCAAGCAAUCUAUCAAGAUUAAAUUUUGGAAUACGCUCAGUUAUACGUUUCAUUUCUUCAUACCCCAAAAGACGACUAAGCUCUUUAUGAUGCUCAUGGGUAAUCAAGUUAUCACAAUUUUUGGACACGAUUUGAUCAUGAAACAAAUAGCAUUGGAGCUUUAAAUGACCAUGUUCAUUACAAAGUUCACAAGGAUGGUGAUAAAUAUUGAAUCUUUCAGCACAAUCAUCUAGCCUUUCUUGCAACCAUUUAGUUUCCAAAUACUUAUGCCUCUUGCAAAAUCUAUCUUCCCUGUUUGGUGUGUACUUGCAAGCUCUAUGUAUUCCAUAAAAGUUGACAUGCUUAUAAGAGACAUUUUCAUCAUGACUAGUGCAAUCAUCAUUAGUACCAUGGAUAUUCAAAGAAUUCAUACUAACAACAUUGCAAUCAUGCUCAUCAUUCAAAUAUUUAGUGCCAAACAUUCUAAUGCAUUCUUCUUCUAACAUUUUGGCACAAUUAUCAGAAUCCUUAUUUUCAUUUUUUUUUCGAAUACGCACGAGUGUGCGUAUCAUUCAUUAUAGAAGAAGGGGGUGGGGAGCCCCAAACCACCGGUACAACUAGUUAUAUUACAUGUGGAUCUGCUCCGGCCUACCCUGUACGUACAAGGAAAAAGAACCAACUACUCCGGUCCUGCCCGCUCCACCUGCGCCGCCUCGUCCCCUAUAGUCAAAUCACUGAUUAGGCAUGCCUUUACCCAAAGUGCUCCUUCUUCGCGUAUUCUACUCAGCACUCGUGGCAAUGAGGGUGUGGCCCCAUUGAAGACGAUGUCGUUCCUAUGCUUCCAUAGUAUCCACAUUGCCAGCAAGCAAAGUGCUCGCUUAGACCUCCUGUGAUCUCUGUUAGCAUCAUGUCUCUCGCACCAUCCGCUAACGGUAUUGAUGACCCACAAGUAUAGGGGAUCUAUCGUAGUCCUUUCGAUAAGUAAGAGUGUCGAACCCAACGAGGAGCAGAAGGAAAUGACAAGCGGUUUUCAGUAAGGUAUUUUCUGCAAGCACUGAAAUUAUAGGUAACAGAUAGUUUUGUGAUAAGGUAAUUUGUAACGAGUAACAAGUAACAAGUGUAAAUAAAGUGCAGCAAGGUGGCCCAAUCCUUUUUGUAGCAAAGGACAAGCCUGGACAAACUCUUAUAUAGAGAAAAGCGCCCCCGAGGACACAUGGGAAUUAUCGUCAAGCUAGUUUUCAUCACGCUCAUAUGAUUCGCGUUCGGUACUUUGAUAAUUUGAUAUGUGGGUGGACCGGUGCUUGGGUGCUGUCCUUACUUGGACAAGCAUCCCACUUAUGAUUAACUCUUAUUGCAAGCAUCCGCAACUACAAAAGAAGUAUUAAGGUAAACCUAACCAUAGCAUGAAACAUAUGGAUCCAAAUCAGCCCCUUACGAAGCAACGCAUAAACUAGGGUUUAAGCUUUUGUCACUCUAGCAACCCAUCAUCUACUUAUUACUUCCCAAUGCCUUCCUCUAGGCCCAAACAAUGGUGAAGUGUCAUGUAGUCGACGUUCACAUAACACCACUAGAGGAAUGACAACAUACAUCUCAUCAAAAUAUCGAACGAAUACCAAAUUCACAUGACUACUAACAGCAAGACUUCUCCCAUGUCCUCAGGAACAAACGUAACUACUCACAAAUCAUAUUCAUGUUCAUAAUCAGAGGGGUAUUAAUAUGCAUAAAGGAUCUGAACAUAUGAUCUUCCACCAAAUAAACCAACUAGCAUCAACUACAAGGAGUAAUCAACACUACUAGCAACCCACACGUACCAAUCUGAGGCUUUGGGACAAAGAUCGGAUACAAGAGAUGAACUAGGGUUUGAGAGGAGAUGGUGCUGGUGAAAAUGUUGAUGAAGAUUGACCCCCUCCCGAUGAGAGGAUCGUUGCUGAUGACGAUGACGAUGAUUUCCCCCUCCCGAAGGGAAGUUUCCCCGGCAGAGCAGCUCUGCCGGAGCCCUAGAUUAGUUCCGCCAAGGUUCCGCCUCGUGGCGGCGGAGUUUCUUCCCGAAAGCUUGCUUCUGAUUUUUUCAGGGUAAAAGACUUCAUAUAGCAGAAGAUGGGCACCGGAGGCCUGCCAAAGGGCCCACGAGGCAGGGAGGCGCACACAGGGGGUAGGGCGCGCCCCCACCCUCGUGGCCAGGGUGUGGGCCCCCUCCGGUAUUUUCUUCGCUCAGUAUUUUUUAUAAAUUCCAAAAAUGACUUCCGUGAAGUUUCAGGGCUUUUGGAGUUGUGCAGAAUAGAUCUCCAAUAUUUGCUCCUUUUCCAGCCCAGAAAUCCACCUGCCGGCAUUCUCCCUCUUCAUGUAAACCUUGUAAAAUAAGAGAGAAUAGGCAUAAGUAUUGUGACAUAACGUGUAAUAACAGCCCGUAAUGCAAUAAAUAUCGAUAUAAAAGCAUGAUGCAAAAUGGAGGUAUCAACUCCCCCAAGCUUAGACCUCGCUUGUCCUCAAGCGGAAGCCGAUAACGAUAAAUAUGUCCACAUGUUUAGAGAUACAGGUGUCGAUAAAAUAAAAUACGGACAUGAAGGCAUCAUGAUCAUUCUUAUAACAGCAACAUAUAUAGAUAUUGUCAUAUUAUUUCUUAUGCUAAAGUAACAAUCUAUCCACAAUGUCAAAUAUGAAUCAGAAACUUCAUUGAGAACUAACAAACUAUAAUCUCAGUCAUUGAGGCAAUUGCAAUUUAUCAUAACAUCAGAAAGAGUCAAUAUAAGAGCUUUUCAGCAAGUCCACAUACUCAACUAUCAUUUAGUCUUUCACAAUUGCUAACACUCACGCAAUACUUGUGGUUAUGGAGUUUUAAUCGGACACAGAGAAAGAUAGGGGCUUAUAGUUUCGCCUCCCAACCUUUUACCUCAAGGGUAACAUCAACAAUAAUAGUUCAUGCCAACUUACAUCCAAUUGGAUAUAUAUAUAUAUAUAUAUAUAUAUAUAUAUAUAUCAGGAUCUUUCCAACACAAUGUGGUUGCCAAAGGAUAAAAUGUAAAAAGGAAAGGUGAAGAUCACGAUGACUCUUGCAUAAGGGUAGAAGAUAAAAGUAAAAGAUAGGCCCUUCGCAGAGGGAAGCAGAGGUUGUCAUGAGCUUUUAUGGUUGGAUGCACAAAAUCUUAAUGCGAAAGAACGUCACUUUAUAUUGCCACUUGUGAUAUGGACCUUUAUUAUGCAGUCCGUUGCUUUUAUUUCUUCCACAUCACAAGAUCGUAUAAAGCUUAUUUUCUCCACACUAAUAAAUCAUACAUAUUUAGAGAGCAAUUUUUAUUGCAUGCAACGAUGACAACUUACUUGAAAGAUCUUACUCAAUCCAUAGGUAGAUAUGGUGGACUCUCAUGGCAAAACUGGUUUUGAGGGUAUUCGGAAGCACAAGUAGUAUCUCUACUUGGUGCAAAGAAUUUGUCUAGCAUGAGAGGGAAAGGCAAGCUCAGCAUGUUGGAUGAUCCAUGACAAUAUACUUUAUUUCGGAUAUAAGAAAACAUAACCCAUUACCUUGUCUUCCUUGUCCAACAUCAACUCUUUAGCAUGUCAUACUUUGAUGAGUGCUCACAAUCAUAAAAUAUGUCCAAGAUAGUAUAUUUAUAUGUGAAACCUCUCUUUCUUUUUUACUUCCUAUUAAUUGCGACGAUGACCAAAACUAUGUUUGUCAACUCUCAACAACUUUUAAUCAUCAUACUCUUUAUAUGUGAAGUCAUUACUCCCCAUAAGAUAAAUAUGAUCUCUUUUAUUUCUUUUUAUUAUUUCUCUUUUCUUUAAUUCCCUCGAGAUCAUAGCAAGAUAAUCAAGCCCUUGACUCAACACUAAUUUUUAUUAUAUAUAGCUCACGGACUCGAUUACAUAGAAGGAUCAUAAGGCAAAACUCAAAACUAAACCAUACUAAAACUUUAUUCUACUAGAUCAAGAUAUUACCAAAAGGAUCGAACUAAGAAAAACGGUAAAGAUAGGAGUGUGAUGGUGAUACGAUACCGGGGCACCUCCCCCAAGAUUGGCAGUUGCCAAGGGAGUGCCCAUACCCAUGUGAUUAUGUCUCUUUUGCUGGUGAAGGAGAUGGAGGUGAUGAUGGAUAGUCGCACAUCGAGCGUAGGAGGUCCUCCAAUUUGCGGAUAAUGCCCUUGAGUGUGAUGAUAUGCUCCUUCAACAAAAUAUUUUCAUGUGUGAGAUGUUUUUUUGUAUACGAGCUAACUCAAUCAUCUUGAAAGCUUCAAUCUCUGGAGUAAAGAGAGGUGGAAUGAUGUCUUCUUCUUCUGCUGCAGGCGCUUGAUCCUCCUUGGCCUUCUUGAUUCCUUCAUCCUUAUUGACCUCCACGGGUUCUUCUCUCUUCAGCUCUAUCUUCAUUAGCCAAGCAUCGUUGCCCUCAUUGUUGGAGGAGGGGGGCGACAUGAUGCCUGGCCUUGACAACUCUGGCAGAAAACAGCUCGAAACAAGAACAGAGGAUAAUUGCAUGAUACGGUGGUCAAAACCUUUGGGAGACUAUAUAAUGAGUUUUUACCGACCAAAAGAAGUAUUGUGCAAGAAAACGGAGUUCGGAGAGCGCACGAGGUGCCCACGAGGCAGGGGGCACGCCCAGGGGGGUAGGGCGCGCCUCCCACCCUCGUGGAUGCCUCGUGUCCUUCCCGGACUGCUUCUUAUUUUCCUAUUUUCUUAAAUAUUCCAAAACAGAGAAAAUUGCCAUUAGAACUGUUUUGGAGUCGGUUUACUUACCGCACCACGUACCUAUUCCUUUUCAGAGUCUGAAGCAUGCUGGAAAGUGUCUCUUAUGUAUUCCUCCGGGGUUACGGUUUCAAUAACAUUGGUUUCAACAUUUAUAGGAUUACCUGAGAUAUAAUGUUUGAUUCUUUGACCGUUCACUAACUUCAGAUUUGUGCCUUCGAAGUUGUUGAUUUUUAUGGCACCGGAACGAUAGACCUCCUCGAUAACGUAAGGACCUUCCCAUUUAGAGAGAAGUUUUCCUGCAAAAAAUCUUAAACGAGAGUUGUAUAACAAUACAUAAUCACCUAUAUUAAACUCAUGCUUUUGUAUCCUUUUGUCAUGCCAUCUUUUAACUUCUUCUUUAAACAGUUUGGCAUUCUCAUAGGCUUGAGUUCUCCAUUCAUCAAGUGAGCUAAUGUCAAAUAACCUCUUCUCACCGGCAAGUUUGAAAUCAUAGUUGAGCUCUUUAAUAGCCCAAUAUGCCUUAUGUUCUAGUUCGAGAGGUAAGUGACAUGCUUUUCCAUAAACCAUCUUAUACGGAGACAUACCCAUAGGUUUUUUAUAUGCAGUUCUAUAGGCCCAUAAUGCAUCAUCAAGUUUCCUGGACCAAUUCUUUCUAGAUCUAUUAAUAGUCUUUUGCAAAAUUAAUUUGAGCUCUCUAUUACUCAACUCUACUUGACCACUAGACUGUGGGUGCUUAAGGGGAUGCAAUUCUAUGAUUAACAUCAUAUUUAGCAAGCAUUUUACGAAAGGCACCAUGAAUAAAAUGUGAACCACCAUUAGUCAUUAAAUAUCUAGGGACUCCAAACCUUGGAAAAAUAACUUCUUUAAGCAUCUUAAUAGAGGUGUUAUGAUCAGCACUACUAGUUGGAAUAGCCUCUACCCACUUAGUAACGUAAUCAACAACAACUAAAAUAUGUGUAUACCCAUUAGAGGAAGGAAAUGGUCCCAUGUAAUCAAAGCCCCAAACAUCAAAUGGUUCAAUAACAAGUGAAUAAUUCAUAGGCAUUUCUUGACGUCUACUAAUAUUACCAAUUCUUUGACAUUCCUCACAAGACAAGACAAACUUACGGGCAUCCUUGAAGAGAGUAGGCCAAUAAAAACCGGAUUGCAAUACCUUAUGUGCAGUUCUAUCUCCAGCGUGGUGCCCUCCAUAAGCCUAGGAGUGACACUUGCGUAGGAUCUGUUCCUGUUCAUGCUCAGGUACACAACGUCUAAUAAAACCAUCUACUCCUUCUUUAUAAAGAUGUGGGUCAUCCCAAAAGUAAUGUCUCAAAUCAUAGAAAAACUUUUUCUUUUGCUGGUAUGUGAAAUUAGGUGGUAUAAAUUUAGCAACAAUGUAAUUAGCAUAAUUAGCAUACCAUGGAGUAGUUCGAGAAGCAUUUAUGACAGCCAAUUGUUCAUCAGGAAAGCUAUCAUCAAUAGGUAGUGGGUCAUCAAGAACAUUCUCUAACCUAGACAAGUUGUCUGCAACGGGGUUCUCAGCUCCCUUUCUAUCAAUAAUAUGUAAAUCAAAUUCUUGUAGCAAGAGAACCCAUCUAAUAAGUCUAGAUUUAGCAUCUUUCUUUUCCAUAAGGUAUUUAAUAGCAGCAUGAUCAAUGUGAAUAGUUACUUUAGAAUCAACAAUAUAAGGUCUGAACUUAUCACAAGCAAAAACAACUGCUAAAAAUUCUUUUUUAGUAGUAGCAUAAUUUCUCUGGGCAUUGUCUAGAGUUUUACUAGCAUAUUGAAUAACAUUUAAUUUCGUAUCAACUCUUUGCCCUAAAACAACACCUACAGCAUAGUCACCAGCAUCACACAUAAUUUCAAAAGGUAAAUUCCAAUCAGGUGGCUGAACAAUAGGUGCAGAAAUCAAAGCUUUCUUAAGUAUUUCAAAUGCUUCUACACAAUAAUCAUCAAAGACAGAAGGUAUAUCUUUUUGUAAUAGAUUAGUCAGAGGCGGAGAAAUUUUUGAGAAGUCCUUAAUGAACCUCCUAUAAAAACCGGCAUGACCCAGAAAACUUCUUAUACCUUUGAUGUCCUUAGGAUACGGCAUCUUUUCAAUAGCAUCAACUUUAGAUUUAUCAACUUCAAUACCUCUUUCAGAAAUUUUAUGUCCCAAGACAAUGCCUUCAUUAACCAUAAAGUGGCAUUUCUCCCAAUUCAAGACCAGAUUAGUUUCUUCACAUCUCUGCAAAACUCGAUCAAGGUUGCUCAAGCAAUCAUCAAAAGAGGGUCCAUAAACGGAGAAAUCAUCCAUGCAAACCUCACAAAUCUUUUCACAAAAGUCAGAGAAUAUAGCCAUCAUGCAUCUUUGAAAGGCAGCAGGUGCAUUACAUAAACCGAAAGGCAUACGUCUAUAAGCAAAAGUACCGAAAGGGUAAGUAAAAGUGGUCUUUUCUUGAUCCUCAGCUGGCACAGGUAUUUGAGAGAAACCAGAGUAACCAUCUAGAAAGCAGAAAUGUGUAUGUUUGGAUAAUCUUUCUAGCAUUUGAUCAAUAAAAGGCAAAGGGUAACACUACAAAAAAAAGACACAUCCGUGACAUUUUGGGCCGAACGAAAUUUUUUUCCGUCAUACAUAUGACACUUCUAUGACGAUAAUUGUGACAAAACCCGGUAUCAUCAUAGAUGUGCUGGGCUCCUACUUCUAUGACAAAAAAUCAUGAUAGAAAAUGGGCUUUUCGUCCUGGGCGGGCCGGAGACGCAGCUGCAUGACAUUCUUUGGGCCGUCCAUGACGGAAAAAACCGUGGUAGAAGCGAGGGCGAGGAAAAUUUCGGGGAGUUCCCGGUUACGGUGGGAGGUCGGGGGCCGAGCGAUGCACGUUUCUCUCGUACACGUACGCGCGUGUGUGCGAGGCGUUGGCUCUAACUGAACCCGAGCGAGGCGUUGGGCUCUAACUGAACCCGAGCGAUUGCACUCCAGGCUAUGCGUUACUGAACCCGAGCGAUCGAUCGAUGGCUGUUAACUGAACCUGAUCAAGCGAUUCCUUCGCUACUGCUGCUAACUGAAGCCGAUCGAUGCUGCCUCUGGGAUGAACAGUGAGCGUUGCAGGGGGGUUGGAUGAACAGUGAGCGGUGGCGUUGCCUCUGGAUGAACAGGACUCCGUGGUGUGGUGGAGGGCUGGAUGAACAGUAGAUGGUGGAGGGGUGCCCGUGGAGGGGUGGUUGAACAGGACCCCGUGGUGUGGAGGGCUGGAUGAACAGUAGACGGUGGAGGGGUGCCCGUGGAGGGGUGGUUGAACAGUAGGCGGUGGAGUAGCGCGCGGUGGAGGCUGGAUGAACAGGAGCCCGUGGAGGCUGGAGGAGGUCGACGGUAGCCCGUGGAGGCUGGAGGAGGUCGACGGUGGAGAUGAACAGUAUCCCGUGGAGUCCCAUUUUGCGGUAUGCCACACCCCUCCCGAUGAACAGGACCCCCGUUUCGACCGUAGGAGGUCCGUUUCGUCCGUUUUGCGGUACGCCACACCCCUCCCGAUCAACAGGACCCCCGUUUCGACCGUAGGAGGUCCGUUUCCUCCGUUUUGCGGUACGCCACACCCCUCCCGAUCAACAGGACCCGUUCCGAACGUAGGAGGUCCGUUUCCUCCGUUGUGCGGUACGCCAGGCCUCGUUUCCAUCGCCUGUUCCGUCCAAGCCCUCCCGAUGAACACGACCACGCAUUCCGUUCCGACCUAGCCGGUUGGCUCCCACGCGUUCUAUUGCCUCCCGAUGAACACGACGCAUUCUGUUGCCUCCCCAUGAACACGACGCAUUCCGUUGCCUCCCCAUGAACACGACGACGACGCUGUUUCUCCGUUCCGACCCAGCCAUGUCAACGAGUCCUCGCCGUACGUAUGCGCGAGUAGGCGUUCGAGACCCCGCCCGUAUGUACACAUACGUGGCCGUAUUUUCUUUCUUGCACCCUGGCCGCUGUACGUACGUGUACAUGCUACGUGCGCGCCUCUACUACGACACGUGCGCGCCUCUACAACCACCAGUAUAUAUGUACGUACACGUUCGCGACCAGAAUGACAACGCUACGUACGCUUCGACCAGGUGGGUCCCGACUGUCAGGCACUUCCUUGCGUGCGAAGAUGUAGCUGGUGGGUCCCAGCAGUCAGGGGGGCGAAUCAUUUUGUUUUUUUUGCCCGGACGCACUUCCUUGCGUGCGAAGGUGUAGCUGGUGGGUCCCAGCAGUCAGGGGGGAAACGUUUUUUCACGAAAUACGGUGGCCCGUCCAGUGGGUCCCCGCUGUUAGGUGGAGGAAUAAUUAUUUUGCGCGUAAUAAGGAGGCACUUCCUUGCUGCGGCCGUGGACCCAGCUGUCAGCAUCUCCACGCACAGUACUCUUUCGAUGGAAGUCGGUCGUUGACCACAUUGACCACGCCGCGCCGAGAGCACCACGGCGGUGGACGACGGCGAGGCCUAGGAAGGGGACGACACGGAGGCAGGGAAGGCUCGGCAGUUGUUUCCCACGCGGAGGGGAGUACGACUGUACGAGGGUUUACUGGUUCGUCUGCCGUCGCCGGAGAAUAAUAGCAGGUGUGGGUGAGUAGAGGGAUGGCUAGGCCAGCGAUGGGAGUACGGUGGGACGGUGAGGCUUGCGCGGCAGCACAGCCGGCCGCGGGGAGGAGGGAGCAGACAGUCCCGCCGGCGCUUGUUUGAGCGGCUGGAGCAGGAGGAGCAGAGAUUGAAGAAGCACGACGGCCGUUGGAUGGACAUCCAACAGUCAGUGCUUGUGCGUCAACCUGUUUUUUAGGAAAGCCUCAAAUCUGUGGAAAACAGCAUACAGCCCAUCUGCCAUUAUUUCUAAUAAUUUACAGUCCAUUUGCUAAUUCUUAAGGUUUUUUUGGAGCCCAUAUUCUUUUUGUUAGCAUUACAGCCCAUAUUGUGGCCAUGGUUAAAAAAUUAUACGAAAUUUUGCAUAUUUCGGUGCGGUCCGAACUGUUUUUAAUCCCGAAAUUUCGACUCACAUUCAAACUGAUUUUAAAAAUAAAUGUAUAUCAAUAUAAAAUCCAACAAAUUCUCCACGCAUAAAAAUUAAUGUAAUUUAAAAUCUUGAAAUGAAAAAAAAGAUAUUUGAAACUAAUUGCCGGUUUGACGUGUUUUAAAAAUGUACAGCCCAUUUCUCAUUACUGAUGGGCCAUUUUCUCGGCCAGCCGAAUGAAAGCUCUCCUCGUCUUGAAAGAUUUGCAGCCCAACAGGCCUGGCAAAGCGACUUACUUGGCAAAUUACAAAAAAACUAGGCUGUGGCCGUGGACCCAGCUGUCAGCCUCUCCACGUACAGUACUCUUCCGAUGGAAGUCGUUCCUUGACCACGUUGACCACGCCGCGUGGAGAGCACCACGGCGGUGGACGACAGCGAGGCCUAGGAAGGGGACGACGCGGCAGUGGAAGCCCGCGCGGAGAGGAGUACGAGGGUUCACUGGUUCGGCUGCGGUGUGAGGCUACCGUCGCCGCAGGGCCUGGCCAGCGGUGGGAAUAGUAGGGGGCGGUGAGGCCUCUGCGGCAGCACAGCCGGCCACAGGAGGCAGGAGCAUGCGGCACGACCGGCGCUGCUUUGGGCGGCUGGAGCAAGAAGACCAGAGGUUGAAGAAGCACUACGGCCGUUGGAUGGACAUCGUACGGUCACUGGAGCUAGAAUCGUUCAUAUUGACUAAGUUGACAAAGCCCUUCGUCCCCGUCAACUUAGUAGGCCCACAAGUCAGCCUCCCACCAAGGUGGUCCCAGCUAGCUGGGGGAGUAUUCAAUUUUUUAUGCGUAAUAAGGAGGCACUUCCGGUGGGUCCGAGCUGACAGCGGGGGGAACGUUUUUUUCGCGAAAUACGGUGGCCCGUCUAGUGGGUCCCAGCAGUCAGGGGGAAACGAUUUUUUCGCAAAAUACUGGUGGCCCGGUGGGACCCCGCUGUCAGGUGGAGGAAUAAUUAUUUUCCGCGUAAUAAGGAGGCACUUCCUUGCGGCUGCCGUGGACCCAGCUGUCAGUCUCUCCACGUACAGUACUCUUCUGAUGGAAGUCGGUCGUUGACCAUAUUGACCACGCCGCGCCGAGAGCACCACGACGGUGGACGACGGCGAGGCCUAGGAAGGGGACGACGAGGAGCCGGGCAAGACGCGGCAGUGGAUGCCCACGCAGAGAGGAGUACAACCGUUCACUGGUUCAGCUGCGGUGUGAGGCUGCCGUCGUUGCAGAAUAACAGGGGGUGUGGGUGAGUGGAGGGAUGGCCUGGCCAGCGGUGGGAGUAGUAGGGGGCGGUGAGGCCUCCGCGGCAGCACAUCCGGCCACGGGAGGCAGGAGCAGGCGGCACGACCGGCGCUGCUUUGGGCGGCUGGAGCAAGCAGACCAGAGGUUGAAGAAGCACGACGGCCGUUGGAUGGACAUCGUACGGUCACUGCAGCUAGAAUCGUUUAUAUUGACUAAGUUGACAAAGCCCUUGGUAUGUCAACUUUUUUUGAAUGCAUGCAGAUCAGCUUAGUAGGCCCAUAGGUCAGUUUCCGAAACGGUGCGCCCCAGAUGUCAGGGGGAGGAAUCAUUUUUUGGGCGGGUGAAGCUAGAAUAUCCGAGAUUGAAGAAGAAGCAUGGCAUCCGUUGGAUGGACAUCCAACGGCCACUGCUGCUAGAACCGUGUGUUGACUAUAAGUUGACAAAGCCUUGCAUACGCUUCAACUCUGUUUUUUUAGGGGACGCGUCAACUUAGUAAGGCCAGAAGUGUGUGGCAGAGAACUUAUAGCCCAUUUGAGAUUUGUAAGAAUGUGUAGCCCAUUUUUGAAUUCUAAUGGAAUUUACUACAGCCCAUUUACAGUUUGUUAAAAGUACAGCCCAUUUCAACCAACCGUUCAAAACAGAAUUCAAUAAAAUUUCCCACAUUUUGAUGGGAUCCGAAAUAUUUUUAUCCCGAAAUUUCUAGUCAGAUUAAAUACAAUUUUAAUAUAAAUUUAUAUUACGUAAAAAUCCAACGAAACAUUGCGCUCGCAACAAUUAAUGAAAUUAAAAUUUUCAAUAUCCAAAAAUAAUAUUUUAUAAAGUAAUCACGUGUUUGGUGUAUUUUUUUAUAGUUACUGCCCAGUUUUUAUAAUUACAUCCCAUUUAUUAUUUCUUAAAGCCCAUUUUCUUGUUAAGCCUAAUGCAUCCCUCCAAGGAAAGAUUUGCAGCCCGGCGGGGUGGAGAAUAACAACUUGACGUGGCCUGGGUAUUUCUAAAAAAAGUAUAGCUGGGCUAGCCAUUUUCAGCUUGAAAAAAAUUAAUAUCUGGGCUGGAUAUCUGGCCUGGGCUAGACGGGCCACAGCCCGCCCAGUUAAUACCUGCAGCGAUGUUUUCGUUGUUGUUUAGAGGAGAAAAAUUAAUAUCUGGGCUAAACAUCGAAAAACUCUGCAGUGCUCACACCUCAAAAACACAAAUACUGCUCGAGCUGCUUGGUCCCAGCUGUCGGCCGCUUCUUGUGCAAUUCUCUCGUUUAUUGACUACUACAUAGGUUGACAAUGGUGUGGGACCGUGAUGUCAGGAAACCAGGAGGAAGCAAAAUAAAUUAUAGUUAUAUAUAUAUAAUAAGGAAGCACUUGCGUACGUGAGGCUAUGGACCCGGUGGGUCCCCAUUGUCAUCCUCUCCAAGUAAAGUCAUCUCCUCGCCCGCGCGCGCUUUCCGCCCGAAACAGUCAGCGCCGCCCGCCCCGCUUCCCGGUGCAGGCGAUUGCUCCGCCUUCAAACGACACAAGUGUCGUCCGUCCGUCCAUCUGCCGCCCACAUUAAUGAUACGCGGUUGCCGAGGCGGCUACUCCGGCGCCACAUGUCCGUCCCUCCGCCCGCCCACCAUUGCUAUAUAAACUGCUGCGCCGGCCAUAGCCGCAGUCAUCCGCAUCCGUUCCCUUUCUCCUGUCUACCCCACUACUGCCCACCAUGGCUUCCUCGCGCUCCAGCGCUCUUCGGGACGGGCGGACGACGGACCACAAGGAAUGGCAGCCAUUGCUGCCGACCGGCUGGCCGGCAGGCAGCCGGAGGACGACGACGUCCCAAUGGAGAACAUGGUAGUCGAUGAUCCGGCGCCAACCCCCUCCUCCGCGCCAUCCUCGCCGGUGCAUUGCACAAUGACCAUCAGCGAGGCCCGUGCCCAAUAUAUGGACAGGGUGAGGCAGAUGCGUGAGGAGCAGUUUCGGGAGGCGCAGGCCGACGCCGCCUACAACCACCAUCUCCUCCAGGAGCACCUGCAGGCGGAGGAGCAGAUCCCCGCGGAGCGGGCGGAGCAGGAGGCGCUGCUCGACUCGUACCGCUCCGCCCGCAAGGGCCGCCUCGAGCGCUGGCGGUACCGCAUGCGGGUGGCGGAGGCUGCGGCCGCCUACAAAGAGGCUAGCAAAGAGGGCGAUGAAGCGGACGAGGCGCUGUUUGGCGAGACCGAGGACGAGGCAGAGGACAAUGCUAGCUCCGACGAGUCCCCGCUCUGCUGGCGUGGACGAGGCCCCGCUCCGCCGAGGCCCCGCGGCGCCAACAACGAGGCAGAGGACACCGCCGGCUCCGCCGAGGCCCCGCCCCGCCAACAACGAGGCGGAGGACAUCGCCGGCUCAGCCGAGGCCCCACCCUGCCGGCAACAUGGGGGAGGAUUUCCACCACUCCGCUGAGGCGCCGCCCGUCGGCAACGAGACAGAGGACAUCGCCGGCUCCGCUGAGGCCCCGCCCCGCUGCCAACGAGGCCGCGCCACACAGAAAACGCGGAAGAGUAGAACACGGUAGGUCGUCGCCGCUCGGGUCCAAGUAAGGCCACCGCUGCUACCCUCUGGUUGAAGCCAAGCUAGGCGGGUUGACCAUUGACGGCCGGUUAGCUUCUUGGCGGCGACGUGGAGUCGGAGAGCUGCGCUGGAGAAGAACGCUGCUUCUACUUAACUGCUGGUGCAGUUGGCAGACUGACACGUGGGCCCAACAGGCCACAUGUCAGUUACGCAACUGCACCUGCAGUUAAGUCACUGAAGCUUCUGUUCGGCUCAGCGGGACACAGGUGGGUAGCUUCGGUUAAUUAAUUAUACCUCUAGCGCACCCCUUUUUUGUUGAAGAAUGUAUGAAAUGUAAUGAAAUCCGGCAUGUUUAUAUGAAAUCCGACCAUGUAUGAAUGAAUUUAUUUCGAUUAGUUUGAAUUCCUGUAUCACUGGCAUUGGAUGAACAUGCAAAACAAUACGUACUAGCAUUAUUCCCAGGGUGAUCACCUCGUUUGCAGCAGUUUCACAUGUACUCCCUCCGGUCCUUUCUAGUCUGCAUACAAGUUUUGUCUGCAGUCAAAGUAUCUCUACUUUGACCAAUCUUAUACAAAAAAGUAUGCACUUUCACAAUGUGCGAAGUAAAAAGGAACAGAAGGAGUACAAAGAGUUUGAGUAGCUUUUUAGCGUUUCUGUACAUUGCAAUCAAACACACAGGCCUGGCAAUUCAUAGAGAACAUUCAAAACAAUCGAUGAUUAUGCAUCUCAGCUACUCACAUGUCAGAGGCAAUAUUUACUUCACAACUAAAGAAUAAAGAAAAAAAUUGAUCGACGCUGCUGACAGCAAAGGGCGUCCCAUUCGAAAAUAUCAAACGCAUGUCUUGCUAAAAUCAAUGAGCAAAAUUUGACAAGAUUGUCCCAUUCCAAAAUAACAAAUGCCUACGAUUGUGGAAUGGGCAGGGUUUGCCAUCAGUUCGUACAUUGACAUGGCACCUCGUGCUAAAUAAACCAGCUUUUCUUUUUGUGCAGUUCCACCAAAAUCAACCAAAUUCGCGCGUAGCUUGUAUGAUUUCGCCCUUAUAUGUUGCAACGCCUUGAACUUAUCGGCACCUCCUUUCUUGUGGUGGAAAUGAAUGAUUCGAUGUAUUCAUGAACAUUUUGUGCAGUUCCCAUUGAAAUCAAGCUGAGCACCCCUGUUUGCACAAAUACAAAAAAGUGAUUAGUAUAAAGCAAACUGUACUAUGAAUUGACAGUUUCAACAGGCACAUACAUGGUCCAUGUAGAGCACACUUUUAGAAAAAUGGAACUCACCAGAAGGAAUCGUAGAACAACAUUGUACUCGCGCAUCACAGCAAAAAAAAGGAGAUUUGUCAGUCCUUCUGAGCUGAAGUUAGUUUGGUCUUGUGGGGAGUAAUGUAGCCAUCCUUCAACUGAUCCUUGUGAAAUAUCCUUAUCUUACCUCAAUGGGAUAUUACGGUGCACAUACAGAUUGGAAGUCUUGUCUCCAUUUGUGCAGUUCACUAAAAUCAAGCAACAUUAUCGUACAAGUAGCACAACAUAUGAAAGCACACUGCAGAAUCAUGUGAAAGAAGGCUAGUACUGACCUCUCAUGAUGCGGAAUUCAAACAACUCACAAGAAGAAGAUCUGGACCAAAUUCGCCUUAACGGAUAGGAAGUAAGAUGUCCUCUUGUGCACUUCCACUAAGAUCAAGCAAUCAAGCAACGUUGUCGGUGUGACAUUUUGGUUGAGCUGCACAAAACACUCUUAAAACAAAAGUGUUUUGUGCAAUGCAACAAAAGGUCACAAUGGCAACGAGGUGAAGUAGAUAACCCUGUUUACAGAGAGGUGCAAAGGAAACAAUUAGUGGUCAAUAACGGUGGAUGACACAGAAGCCAACAAAAAGAAGCAUCUACCUUAUCUAAAUGGGAAAGAAAGCAAGACAGUAGCAUUUCUCAAAUGGUGGCAUUGAUUAAUAUUAACAUAGAGAUUAUAUUAACAAUAAAAUUCGUUAAACAUGUAAUUUGCUUUUAACUGUGGCAUUGCAUCAAUUUUCCAGCGGCAUUAUUAGAGGGUGUUUGUUUACAGGGACAUUUUGGUGUGGGGACUAAAAAAACUCCGUGUCAGUCCCAUCUAAACCAAAUAGGAGGGACUUUUAGGGACUAAAAGUGGGCAUUUGGGACUAAAGAAAGAAGACCCCGAGGGAGUCUUUUUGGGACUUUUUCCAACAGUUGCCCCUGCCACGCAUCGCACCUUGUCUCUAUUAGUUCAUUACUAGGGGUAACAUGGUCUUUUAGCAUGUCAUUUAAUAACCUCUAGUCCAUGUUUAGUCCCUGGAAGCAAGCAGGUAGGGACUAGGGAUUUUUUAACCAAACAUGGCCUUAGAUUAAGAACAGCUAAUGAGUUGCACGGGACAGUGGACGCACCAGCACCAUGUGCAUCUACCGAUGUACUGUGGUCAUGCACAGUCUGUUGCAACAAAGAACAAACAACCAAGGAGCAUAUUUGUGUUGGUCCCAGUUUUGUUAUCUUUAGACACCUUCCCUAUGUGAGCGCAACAAAUCUAGUCCUGCUCAAACUCUACAGCCUUGUCCCUUCCUUUCCUUUUUGAACUAGUACUUUCGCCCCUUCCUUUCCUCUUUGAACCACAUCCUAGAUUUAUGCGAUACAACUUUCCCCACUACUUUCCCCCAUUCCUUUCCUCUUUGAACCACGUCCUAGAUUCAUGCUAUACAACUUUCCCCCUUCAUUUCCUCUUUGAACCACGUCCUAGAUUCAUGCUAUAUACAACUUUUCCCACUACUUUCCCCCACUUCUUUCCUCUUUGAACCACGUCCUAGAUUCAUGGUAUACAUGCAGCUAGAGCAAUGCAUGUGGAGUAAGUAAAUUAUACCUUAAGGUACUUGGGGCGUGGUUCGGUGGGUGACGGGACGGCGGCGAAGAAGAAGGGGUCGGAGGCCCUCCCGCGCCGUCGCUGGGUGGAAAGUGAACAGUUGCGCCGGUAGUCCCUCGCCGACGGCGACAGCGUUAAGCCUCCUUCCCUUCCCGGCGGACGGAUCAUGCCGGAUCUUUGAGCAGCAGUGAGGGGAGAGAGAGGCCAAUGCAGUCUUGUUUAGAUCUGGAGAGGGCGAGAGAGUGUGAAGAGAGCAACUACAAGCGCUGAGGCUCCAGCGAGAGAGUGUGAAGAGAGCAACUCCAAGCGCUGAGGCUCCAGCGUGUAUAUAUAUACUGGAGAGAGUGUGUGAAGCGUGCAAACCCUAGAAAACAUUUUGACCAGUCAAAGAAUCCUCCUGGCACAAAUUAUGCUCAAGUGUAGUUAUCGAACCCGAGACCUCAAGUUUGAUGAGCGAACAGGCUAACCAGCUACACAACCCUCUCGUUAUGUUCAACGAGAGGGAAAUAACCUUUUAUACAUUCCUGCAUUCGUGUGACAAGCAUGCCGUGUUUUUUGUGUGUGUGGGAGUCAUUGGGAUUUCAAUCAUAAUCGUGUCAUGUGGCUUUGGUGGUAAGACUAUCCAAAGUGGUGCAGAAAUAAUGCAGGCUUAGUCACCUUACCUCUCUCCAUGUAGUACGUUGGGUCCCACCAGUCAGAGGGUGAAACAAACAAAUUAAUAAGAAAAUUUAAAAGCGCCAGCGGUGUAUCUUACCUCACACGUCUCGCUACUUCUCGGGAACACUGUCCAAUUGAUCCCUCUGUUCGCUCACAUACUAUUUUAAGUGAAUCCUUAUUAUAACAUGCACACAAAUUUUGGGCACUUGUAUUCGACUUAAGUCAAUGUGCCACCGUAUCUCGUAUACUUACUACUCCCUUCGUCUAGGUGUAAUAAGUCACGUUAGAAGGUGCAACGGGACCAAGGUGCGUGCGUGUGUGCGUGUGUGUGUGUGUGUUUAACAGCAUGUGUGUGUUAGAGAGAGCGACAGAUCGACCUACUCCUACAGAGAGAUGUUGUGUAGUGUACGAUUUUAGCCGCGGGAGUCGGUGCAUCCUCUCGUUUCCGGGCGUGUCCGGUAGGGACAUGCGGACAGCUGCCACACCCGCUCCUGACCAGCCUGGCCCACCCAAAGCCCCUCCAUCGCCCGCGCGCGCUUCCCGCCCAAAACGGUCAGCGCCGCUCCAAAGAAUCGGUGCCGCAUUCAUGCUCGGGCAGAGCGGACGCGACCUCUCACUGGCGCAAGAGUGAUGGUUGCUUCGUCCGUCCAACUUACUGCUGGGUCUAUGUGAUUUGACGGCUCAUUGGUCUUUAUUACUGAGGUGGUAGGACUACUGGAUGUCCCACGCUUUCGGCGAAAGGAGGUAGUACUACUAGAUUACAAUUUUCUCCAUUCUUGCAGCGGAGGCGUGCAAGAGCAGUGAAAACACGCAGGCUCAGUGAUUACAUGGCCCACCUCACACUAUCACCGUGCGACACCUAACUCUUUACAUAGUACUCCCUCCGUUCCUAAAUAUUACUAGAUGAGUCCUCGCGCGUUGCCGCGGAACAGCGGUAUAUCUCUCUGCGCAAAAUUAUCGAUUUCAUAGAACUAAAAAAAACUCUAUAACCGCAUGACAAAUGUGGUAGCCAAACUAAAUAAACUCCCAUCAUCAUUUAGAUCAUCCCACGUAAGGAAAAAAGAUCAGCCAACUCCUACUGCAUAAUGGGAUUAUAUUUUUAUUUUUGACAUGUUAAUGAGACUUAAAAGCUCACUUACAUGCAUGCUACCAGUGCAUGCUUGCAUGCAGACAUGUUGAUGUGAUUUAAAACCCACUCACAUGCAUGUGCCACGGUAUUUCUGCAUGCUUGCAUGUGGCUUAGUGCGGAGCCUCUCAACGUCUAGAUCAGACGGCUAUUAUGGACUAAUUUACUUCAUCUAACGGCUACAUCAAUUUUGCUGAUGUGGCUCAAGGAGAGGAUAGAGAAUUCCUAGUAGUGGGGGCUAGCUAUUACUAGUAGAUAAGUCUUUGUAGAGAUUCCACUACAUACGGAACAAAAUGAAUGAAUCUACACUUAAAAUGCAUCUAUAUACAUCCGCAUGUGGUUCAUGGUGAAAUCUCUACAAAGACUUAUAUUUAGGAACGGAGGAAGUAUUAGUAUAGUACGUACUGUAAUUUAUCAGCGGGAUAAAUUUGUACAAUGCUAUGAAGCUUCCAGCUUCUGUUACAUGUAUCUUGCGUCCAAGGUUGCCCGUUGCAACAUUUCAUCAAAUACAAAGGAGACUAACAUGCAUGCUAUUGCAUCUCAAUGAUUGACAGAUCAUAGCAAAUAUGUACUCCCUCCAUCCCAAAAUAAGUGUCUCAACUUUGUGCAAACUUUAGUACAAAGUUGUACUACUACUAAAGUUGACACUUAUUUUGGAACAGAGGCAGCUAAAGAAAAAAAGAUCCAUGCAGUCCCUAGCCCUUGAACCGUGAACCCUGACCAGGCUUCAAUUUGCUGGCAACGUUCGAGCUUCCUAAUAAAUGAAGUUUGCAACCUUUUGACCAUCGGAUCAUUUUGUGCAGUUUCACCAAAAUCGAGAUGAGCAUCCCUGUGGCAAAGAAAUUGAAGAAGAGUGAUUAGAAUAAGAUUACUGGGACUAGUUGAUGAGACAUAAACUCAUCACAAAUACAGUACGUAGAAGCCAGUAGAGGUAUUUGCGGGGCAAAGAAGUAGAGAAAUAUCCACAGGGAGUGAUGUGGGCAGCUGGAGCAGCGGUGCAAGCCGGCUGUAAAGGGAGUUGUACCUGAGGGACGUAGCACAACCUUGAGGAGGGCAGCGGGAGGCGGCAACUGCCCACGUCGCGGCAGUGAGCAAGGGACGAAGGCAACCUCACCGGCUUUGUGAGAGAGAACAGCGGGGACCCCUGAUCGGGACGUGCCGACAGUGGGUUUUCGCCGUCGGCGACGGCCACCGCAUCUACACUAAGCAUCCACCCCUUCCCCAAGCGGACGUGAUCCGCCGGGAUGUUAGAGAUGUGGCCACAGUCGUUUUGUGCGAGAGAGUGUGAAGAGAGCAACCCCAGCAGGCAACCGUGUAGGCUGGCCCGUCCUGACUAUGUAUAUAGUGGAGUGGUUUCCUUUUCUCUCCAUAUGAACCUAUCAUAUUGCGUACGUGCCACUGAAGAAAAAAAACUUUAUUUAUAAAUGACGCGGCACCUUCUACUCGUUCUCCUAUAACCUUGCGCUUGGCAUCUCCAAAAUAUUAACCUUGCAAUUGGCUCUUCGCCUCUUCGGGAAGUCGAGCAAUAAUGGUAGUGCAGUAUAUAUCGUUCUGGCUAUAUGAGACCGAAUGAAUUGCUGCACGUCCACCACGUGGGCGAGGGUCGAGGGGUGAGGGAGAGUGCUACAUACGGAGCAAAAUGAGUGAAUCUACACUCUAAAAUACGUCUAUAUACAUCAGUGUUUGGAGUAUGUACUAGUAGUUCAUAUUGAAAUCUACUAAAGGACAUAUAUAUUCCAAACAAUAUGAUAUAAUCUCUAUAACCAAGGUAGUAGGGACGAGGAGUAAACGGAGGGAGUAGUAAUUUUUUCUCCUCGUCCUGCGAGCCACCGCGCGCAUGGGCGAGGGAGCGGGCGUAAGGCGGAGCAAGCUUCACCUCAUCCCGCGAGCCACCGCGCCCGUGGGCAAGGGAGACGGCAUACUAAGCAAGCUUCUCCUCGUUCUGCGAGUUGACGGGACACAUCAAAAGUACUCUAGUGUAUAGAGCCUUGCCUCUAAGGUAGGCCCCACAUGGUUUGCCUCUUUUUUUAACAUAACACGUCAAGUCGCAAUUUGUUUGUUCACCCGUGGUAGACAAUCCUCCCUCCACCAAGUGGACAACCAGUACACGUGCCAAAUUACCACGUGGGCUGCCUUUUUCGUACAGAAAUGAGCUCCACCGUGUACCGCGCGGGUGUGGUUGGGAAAGAGACGGGAGUACGUGCGCCGUGCAUGCACCUCUUCUCUUCGUGCACGCCCCCCACCUGCGUGGGUGUGUGUGAGAGAUACAAACCGCGUUCGUGAGUGUUUUUUGUUUUGGGGUGGGGGUGGGGUGGGGGGUUGAUUUCGUGAAUUAUUUGUGGGAAUAUGUGUCGAUGACAUCUCAAACAAAAUUUUGCAUGCAAUGUGUGUGAAAUGGAGGCCUAUCCAUAUCAUACAUAGAGGGUCGGGCAAUCCACGAGAAGAGAGGGAGGGGUCAUAGCUAUCGAUAGAGUCGAAGAGAGGAUCAAGUGGGUGGGUGCGAGAUCGAUGAAGAGAGNNNNNNNNNNNNNNNNNNNNNNNNNNNNNNNNNNNNNNNNNNNNNNNNNNNNNNNNNNNNNNNNNNNNNNNNNNNNNNNNNNNNNNNNNNNNNNNNNNNNNNNNNNNNNNNNNNNNNNNNNNNNNNNNNNNNNNNNNNNNNNNNNNNNNNNNNNNNNNNNNNNNNNNNNNNNNNNNNNNNNNNNNNNNNNNNNNNNNNNNNNNNNNNNNNNNNNNNNNNNNNNNNNNNNNNNNNNNNNNNNNNNNNNNNNNNNNNNNNNNNNNNNNNNNNNNNNNNNNNNNNNNNNNNNNNNNNNNNNNNNNNNNNNNNNNNNNNNNNNNNNNNNNNNNNNNNNNNNNNNNNNNNNNNNNNNNNNNNNNNNNNNNNNNNNNNNNNNNNNNNNNNNNNNNNNNNNNNNNNNNNNNNNNNNNNNNNNNNNNNNNNNNNNNNNNNNNNNNNNNNNNNNNNNNNNNNNNNNNNNNNNNNNNNNNNNNNNNNNNNNNNNNNNNNNNNNNNNNNNNNNNNNNNNNNNNNNNNNNNNNNNNNNUGUGUUGAGAAGGAGAGACCCAGCUAUGUCUUGAAGGAGAUCGGUCGACAUCCAUACAUAACUGAAGGACAGGAAAUAUGAUGGGACAGAGAGAGAGAGGAGAGAGAGAGGGAGGGAGGGGGAGGGGGAGGGGUAGAGUGCUGGAUGGGUGAUGGAGUUGCUUCUCGAAGAUGGUGGGAGAGGCCUACUAGACAAACUGAGGGUGGAACUGCAAUGUUAUCAAUAAGAGUGGGGAUGUGUUUCUGUGUGUUCCUGUGCGUGAUAGAUCUGUCGGGACACAUCCAUGGAUGAUGAAGGGGAACCAUGUGUUUGGUAAGCAAACCUAACUAGAUCGGUAGAUCAAUUGUUGUUUGUCGGAGGAAGGGAGAGACACAACUAAUGAGGUAGAUCGAUUGACGUGUGGGUAAAAACGAGUUAUAAGGACCUAGCUAGCUAUAUGUAUAGCGAGAUAUCAGUCGGUGUACGUCCAUUUGUUAGAGGCAAAUAAGGCCCAACGAGACGGAUAGACAGAGAGAAUGGAGCUAGGAGGUGGUGCGAGAGGCCUAACUACUAGCUAGAUAGGGGGAGGAGUGUGCGGUUGUGAGAUCGAUGAAAAGAGGGGCGAGAGUUUACACGUGUGUCUAACCGUAUGAGAGACACGAGGCAAGGACACAUAAAGGAGGAGAUUGAAGGUGUGUGUGUGUAUGUUGUAGGCAGGCAUCGCUGGAGAGGUUUAUCGAUCGGUGUGUGUCGGAAAGGAGUUGUGGAGACUCUGGGAGAACGACCUAAAGAAAAAAAUGAAUGUGCCCGGUGGAUAGAAUGCCGAGGGAGGGGGAGGGCGAGGAGGGCGUGUGCAUGCACGAGAGAAAGUUAGUGGUAGCUACAAAGGUUAGAGGAUUGUGUGGGUGUAAGUGACUAACAAAGAUCAUAAUUUGAUAUGAAAGCGGAUUCAUAUAUUUGAAUAGGAGAUCAUAGUGUUUUAAACAUUGCAUGCAUGAAUAUAGCGGUGAUACACGUACUGUGCACAUGUUAUACCAUAAUGUGAUAAUGCAUGGCGUUUGCAACUCACAGCAAAUGCCGAACAAUCUAAACCAUACUAUACAUCAAACAAUCUCACAUUUUAUUUGAAUUUGUAAUAAUGUGUGGCAUUUGCAGCUUACAACUAAAUAUCGAACAAUCUAAACAAUACUAUAUAUCGAACAUUCUCACAUUUUAUUUGAAUUUGUGGUAAUGUGUGGUGUUUGCAACUCACAUCUAAAUACUUGUAGGCGUAGGGGCGGGGCACCAUACAUAAUGUGAUAAACACAUUAUACAUAUGAGACAUGGUUUAGAUUAUGAACAUCUAGCUAGAGCUAGAAAUGUAAUGUGAUUUGAAAUCAAAAUAAAGUGGAUUCAAAAAAUCUAGUUCGAGUUCAUAUAGUACACAUAGUUCAUAUGUAACUCGAGACUAAUCAUGUGGUGUGCUGUGAAGAUAAUACACAAACGAUGGUUUAACUUGACAAUAAUGAUGAUUGUAGAUCUUAUUAAAACAGAGAAACGAAUUCAAAUGCUUUGACUUCACAACAAUCAUUACUGUAGAUCUUAUUCAAAUAGAGAAACGAAUUCAAAUUUAGUUCAUAUUGAAGCGGUAGUAUAUACGUUUGGAAUGCACUAAAACGUUCAUUUGAGUAGUAGGUUGCAUGCAUUAUACCGUAGCGAAAUAUUUUAAUUGAACAUAACAUGAAUUCAAAGUUUUGAAUGACAUUUGUAGUGCGCAUUGAUUUGGUACAGUACACGUUAGGCUUGUCCGGAAAUUUCAACCCGCGCCUUGUUAGCCCGAAAUAUUUAAGAUAUAUCUUUCUCUCGUUGUGCUCCGACAACUCCCUCCAUCUCAACCCGCGCCUUGCUAUUCCGAAAUUACAACGCGCGCGAAAACUCCCACCUCGUGUGAAAUCCCGACACGCGAAAUGCCCGUGCUACCCCUGAACUGAAAGAACCGCCUCAAAUCGUUGGGGGUACUUUCAUAACUUACCCCACAGUUCGGAUAAGCGCGUCUCUAAGCCAUGGUUCCCCACUGCCAUCCCAUCCGCCCACCCAUUCGUACACCGAGGCCGCGAAAACCCGCGACGAAACCGCACACCCUGCUCCGUUCGCCACCCAGCCGGAGCCUCAUCCCCGACGACGUCGUCCACAGUAACACCUCGACGUCCCUCAUCCACCGUACCGGAUGAGGAUCCGUCGUCGAUCUCAUCGUCCCGCCGGUUCAGCCACCCCGUCCUCCACCUCCAAGGAGCUGCCCCGACGUUCCCCUCGUCUUUCGCGCCACCUCCAUUCCCACACCGCCGUCUUCACCUGCACCACCGAAAGAGCAUCAUCAUCACCGUUUCCUCGGAUGAAGCUGCGGCCUAAUCGGCGCCACCAAAGAGGUUGUACACUAAUCGCCACAUUUUCUUCUUGAUUCAAUAUCACGGUGCUGCCGGCGCUCGGUCCCGAGCCGACACGGCGCGGCUCCAUCCACGGCGGCGUCGCUGGCCACUUCCUCCAUGGCGUCGCUCCCUCGGCGGCGACGUCCACAUCAGUAGGAGCUGCUGCUGCUUUAGCUCUCGCUCGCGCUGCUGCUCUGCUCUUGCUCUCGGUCCCCUGCCUGGUCUGCUCUUGCUAUUGCUCUUGCUCGCGCUGCUGCUCUCGCUCUUGCUCUUGCUUGCGAUGCUACUCCGAUUUAGCUACACUUCAGUCGACUGAAUCGACUUUUGGGUCAGUCGAUUUUCNNNNNNNNNNNNNNNNNNNNNNNNNNNNNNNNNNNNNNNNNNNNNNNNNNNNNNNNNNNNNNNNNNNNNNNNNNNNNNNNNNNNNNNNNNNNNNNNNNNNNNNNNNNNNNNNNNNNNNNNNNNNNNNNNNNNNNNNNNNNNNNNNNNNNNNNNNNNNNNNNNNNNNNNNNNNNNNNNNNNNNNNNNNNNNNNNNNNNNNNNNNNNNNNNNNNNNNNNNNNNNNNNNNNNNNNNNNNNNNNNNNNNNNNNNNNNNNNNNNNNNNNNNNNNNNNNNNNNNNNNNNNNNNNNNNNNNNNNNNNNNNNNNNNNNNNNNNNNNNNNNNNNNNNNNNNNNNNNNNNNNNNNNNNNNNNNNNNNNNNNNNNNNNNNNNNNNNCUAUCUACCUUAGGGUUCAGGAUGGGGGCGGUGGUCGCCGGCGGUGGCGGGGCGUUGGCGUGGGGAUCGCCGGAGAAAAAGCUCGGCACGGGGGGCCUAGAGGGAUGGCCGGGGCGGCGGCGGACCGGCGGUGGGGAGUGUUUUCGGGGCGGGCGGGGCGGCGGGGGGCUGUUGUUUGGCCGGUGGUGGCUGGCGGCUCAGGGGGGUGGAAGUUGAAGAUGAACCGCAGGCCCUUGAUUUCGUAUCCAACGGCUGCAAAAUCGACUGACCAGAGAUGAAAAAGUCAGUCGACCGACGUGUAGCCUCACCUUGCUAGUGCGUUCAGUUUCGACAGCAAAAUUCAGUUUUGACAGCAAAAUUCAGUUUUGACAGUUAAGUUCAGUUUCGACAGUUAAGUUCAGAGAUGAGCGGCUGAUGUAUUUUACAUCUAGCACUUUGUGGUUAUGUAUUUUACGUCAUGUAUUGGAGAUGCUAUUAGAAUUCCACUCAGGUUAACGUUGUUCAUUGUCUCUCUUGUCUUGCUUCAGCCUCGGCGUCGUACAACUCACCGAGCUGCUCCAACGACGAAACCCUCCAUCACAGCGGAGCAGUACCUCGGGCUCCAUCUCCAGACGUCUAAGAUCUUCUUCCCCUCCUCCUACAGCAAAGUCAGCCGGAGCAUCCUCACCGGCCAACCCAAUCAUGCUGAGACCGACAUGGCUUCGCCAAAGAGGUUGUACACUUGUUGCAUCUCUUUUUUACUCUACAUGUUAUAUAUAUUGUCCACUGAGGACACGGAUUUGUUCCUUUAGUGUCUCCUUGAAAGAAAAAACGUAGGAAUUUUAAUUUUCACUUGUCCUCCUUUUCAAAUUCCUAUUCAUGAAGCACAAGACUAAGAGAUAGUAUCAUAAUAGCAUUAUAACCGUACAUUUUCUUGUGGUUUGACUUAAUCUCACCAUGCUUCUUUGCAUCCUAUGAUCUUCCAAUUGUUGUGAAUCAAACACCCAGAUUGGCAGAAAUCCUGUGUUUUUAAAUUCUCUGUUUUGCACGUGCAUUCCUAUCCUAUUCUUGUCUAUUUCAUAUCCCUGCAUUGUUGGAAUUCUCCAAUUCAAACGAGCCCUUAUAGAAUUACUUCUCUUACAAAUAGUUGUCAAAGAAAACCUUGCGUGGUUUGUCCCGCUCCUGCUGCGCCGUCGUCCACCCCAGCUCAGCUGCUCCAACGACAGAAGGGUCCAGCACAGCAGGGAUCCAGCCUCCAGACUGUCUUUCGCCGCCUCAGAUCUUCUUCCCCGCCGCUGGCAGCCAUGAAAACUGCAUUACCAUCAUCAACCGAGCAGAUGACCUCGAGGACUACAUGGGUCCGCAAGAGAGGUCGCACUCUUUCAUGUCUGCUUACGUUAUGCAUCGCUUAAUAUUACAUGCUAAUUUAUCGUCCUGUUCACCGAUUUGACUCUGAGUCAGCUCCAAACUAAUGGUCAAACUUGAGUUUUUAAAUGGUUGUGGGGUAUAUAUCGGGGCCGCUAUCAAUAGUAUCUAUCUACUAUCUGGUUAAUCUCCGGUGUCUACUAUGAGUUUCAUGUUGGGUGGGAAACAAACAGUAAAGAAGCCAUUAUCUGUAUUUUUUAACUGAAGCCAUUAUCUGCCUGCUAUUAUUGGUUUUGGGUCUAUCCAUAGGUUGCUACCAUCACUCUGGAUUUUUGCAUGCACUCCUUACAUAAUCUCACUAUGUUUUAUUCCUAUGCAUGACAGUUAUUGUAAACAAUGGAACUGAACAUGUAGAGCAAAAGAGACGAGCCUUGCGUGGCAAUAAAAUUUCAUGCAGACGUCGCUCCAUGGUAGGCGCAAAGGCAGCCCCCCCUCCACGCAUUUCGGAUUGUAAUCGAGAGGGAGAUAUCUGUUCUGAGGGGGAUUCAGAAGGAGAAGACAACUCCUAUUACCCCCUGAGGUCUUUGCUCUAACUUGGCAUGUUGAUGUUGGUUAUAUCAUGCAUAUGGUGUCUUGCAUUGCUUACUUUAUACAUCAAAUAUGUCAUCUGCUUAGUUUAGACAUCCUUUGUGUGAAUGCCAUCUGUUUAGUUUAUUCAUCGUUUAUGUGAAUUAUGCAACGCCAUCUUGUUUAGCCAGGCAUCAUAUAUGUGAAUUUUGCAAUGCCAUCCUGCUUAGCCAGUCAUCUUAUAUGUAAAUUAUAUCAGGCCAUCCUUUUUUUUCGUUACAUAUUACAUUUGUCAACAAUGUUAGUACAUUCAACUGCUCUUCGUGUGCAUCAGCCAUUUGACACGGUGAUGGCAAAUUCUGGAGUGAAAACAAGGUCUUCAGAGCAGACUAUGCUAUCUGACGAACCGCAUAUCUCGCUGGUUACGGAUAGCUCCUCAGAGGAGGAUUCAGAGACAGAUGACCAGUCCUAUUCCCCCCCCGAGGUGUAUGCUCUAACUUGGCAGGGUUAUGUUGCUCAUAUCAUGCGUAUGGUGUCUCACAUUGCUAUGUCAUUUGAUUAGUUUAGACAUGCUUUGUGUGAAUGCCACCUGUUCAGUGUCUAAUUACCAUAUAUGUGAAUUAUGCAUUGCCAUCUUGUUGCAAGACAUUAUAUAUGUGAAUUAUACAAUGCUAUCUUGUUGCAAAGGCAUUAUAUAUGUGAAUUAUACAAUGCCAUGCUAUUUAGCCAAUCAUCAUGUAUGUGAAUUAUAUCAUGCUAUCAUUUUUUUGUAUUACGUGUUCCAUUUGUCGACAACGUUUGUAUAUUCAACUACUCUUCCUGUGCAUCAGCCAUUUGAAGCGGUGAUCGAAGUAUCUGGAGUGAAAACAAGGUAUUCAGAGCAGACAAUGCUACCUGCUGAAGCAGACAUCUUGCUGGUUACAGAUAGCUCCUCAGAGGAGGAUUCAGAGACUGAUGACCAGUCCUAUUUCCCCCCUGAGGUCUAUGCUCAAACUUGGCAGGGUUAUAUUACCCAUGUCAUGCAUGUUGUCUUGCAUUGCUUAGUUUUUACAUCAUAUAUGGAUUGACAUCUGCUUACUUGCUUACUAUAUAAAUCAUAUAUUUGAAUUAUAUCAUGCCAUCAUGUUUACAUAGUACAUACACAUCAUCUAUCUGAAUUAUGGCAUGGCAACCCAUUUAAUAAAGACAUCAUAUAGUUAUAUCAUCUCAUCCUGUUUAGUGUUUACAGUCAUCAUAUUUUGAAUUAUGGCAUUCUAUCCGUGAAUGUAUGUGAAUUAUGGCAUGCCAACCUAUUUAAUAAACACAUUAUAUAGUUAUGUCAUGUCAUCCUGUUUACAUAGUCUCAUAUUUUGAACUAUGUCUUUCCAUCUUUUUUAGUUAGCCAUCAUAAUGUGAAAUUGUGUCAUGCUAUCCUGUUUAGUUAGCCAUCAUAUAUGUGAAAUUGUGUCAUGCUAUCCUGUUUGGUUAGACAACAUAAAUAUGAAUUAUUCCAUGCCCUCUUUUAUUCCCCACUAUCCAUUGCACUUGUCUAUCAUACAAUGUCUAUACUUUCAAUUACUUUUCUUGUUUAUCAGCCAUUUGAAUUGGAGAGCGUGAUGGCAGUAUCUAAGGGAGUAACAACACGGUCUUCAGAAAAGAUAGUGCUACCAGUUGAUGCAGAUAGAACCACGGUUGUACUUGCCCAAGGAACAGAUCCACCACACAUAACCCAGACUCUCGCAGAUUGUACCCCUACCCAGUUGGACAGAGAACUAGCUACACCCCUUCUAACCCCAACCCCGACAGAUAGUAACCCAGUUCCAGUUGACACAGCACCGUCUCCACCACAGAGCUGUUGGGGAACGUAGUAAUUUCAAAAUUUUCCUACGCACACGCAAGAUCAUGGUGAUGCAUAGCAACGAGAGGGGAGAGUGUUGUCCACGUACCCUCGUAGACCGAAAGCGGAAGCGUUAACACAACGCGGUUGAUGUAGUCGUACGUCUUCACGAUCCGACCGUUCAAGUACCGAACGCACGGCACCUCCGAGUUCAGCACACGUUCAGCUCGAUGACGUCCCACGAACUCCGAUCCAGCCGAGUGUUGAGGGAGAGUUUUGUCAGCACGACGGCGUGGUGACAAUGAUGAUGUUCUACCAACGCAGGGCUUCGCCUAAGCACCGCUACGAUAUUAUCGAGGUGUAAUAUGGUGGAGAGGGGCACCGCACACGGCUAAGAGAUCAAUAGAUCAACUGUUGUGUCUAUGGGGUGCCCCCCUGCCCCCGUAUAUAAAGGAGCAAGGGGGAAGGCGGCCGGCCUAGGAGGAGGGCGCGCCAAGGGGGGAGUCCUACGAGUAGGACUCCUCCUUUCCUUGUUGGAGUAGGAGAAGGGAAGGGAGAAGGAGAAGGAAGGAAGGGGGCGCCCCCCCUCCCUAGUCCAAUUCGGACUAGUCCAUGGGGAGGGGUGCGGCCACCCUUUGGGGCCUUUCUCUCCUUUCCCGUAUGGCCCAUUAAGGCCCAAUACGAAUUCCCGUAACUCUCCGGUACUCCAAAAAAUACCCGAAUCACUCUGAACCUUUCCGAUGUCUGAAUAUAGUCGUCCAAUAUAUAGAUUUUUACGUCUCGACCGUUUCGAGACUCCUCGUCAUGUCCCUGAUCUCAUCCGGGACCCCGAACUCCUUCGGUACAUCAAAACUCAUAAACUCAUAAUAAAACUGUCAUCGUAACGUUAAGCGUGCGGACCCCGCGGGUUCGAGAACUAUGUAGACAUGACCGAGACACCUCGCCGGUCAAUAACCAAUAGCGGAACCUGGAUGCUCAUAUUGGUUCCCACAUAUUCUACGAAGAUCUUUAUCGGUCAGACCGCAUAACAACAUACGUUGUUCCCUUUGUCAUCGGUAUGUUACUUGCCCGAGAUUCGAUCGUCGGUAUCUCGAUACCUAGUUCAAUCUCGUUACCGGCAAGUCUCUUUACUCGUUCCGUAAUACAUCAUCCCGCAACUAACUCAUUAGUCACAAUGCUUGCAAGGCUUAUAGUGAUGUGUAUUACUGAGUGGGCCCAGAGAUACCUCUCCGACAAUCGGAGUGACAAAUCCUAAUCUUGAAAUACGCCAACCCAACAAGUACCUUUGGAGACACCUGUAGAGCACCUUUAUAAUCACCCAGUUACGUUGUGACGUUUGGUAGCACACAAAGUGUUCCUCCGGUAAACGGGAGUUGCAUAAUCUCAUAGUCAUAGGAACAUGUAUAAGUCAUGAAGAAAGCAAUAGCAACAUACUCAACGAUCGAGUGCUAAGCUAACGGAAUGGGUCAAGUCAAUCACAUCAUUCUCCUAAUGAUGUGAUCCCGUUAAUCAAAUGACAACUCAUGUCUAUGGCUAGGAAACAUAACCAUCUUUGAUCAAUGAGCUAGUCAAGUAGAGGCAUACUAGUGACACUCUGUUUGUCUAUGUAUUCACACAUGUAUCAUGUUUCCGGUUAAUACAAUUCUAGCAUGAAUAAUAAACAUUUAUCAUGAAAUAAGGAAAUAAAUAAUAACUUUAUUAUUCCCUCUAGGGCAUAUUUCCUUCAGUCUCCCACUUGCACUAGAGUCAAUAAUCUAGUUCACAUCGUCAUGUGAUUUAACAUCAAUAGUUCACAUCACCAUGUGAUUAACACCCAUAGUUCACAUCGUCAUGUGACCAACACCCAAAGGGUUUACUAGAGUCAAUAAUCUAGUUCACAUCGCUAUGUGAUUAACACCCAAAGAGUACUAAGGUGUGAUUAUGUUUUGCUUGUGAGAUAAUUUUAGUCAACGGGUCUGUCACAUUCAGAUCCGUAAGUAUUUUGCAAAUUUCUAUGUCUACAAUGCUCUGCACGGAGCUACUCUAGCUAAUUGCUCCCACUUUCAAUAUGUAUCUAGACCGAGACUUAGAGUCAUCUAGAUUAGUGUCAAAACUUGCACCGACGUAACCCUUUACGAUGAACCUUUUGUCACUUCCAUAAUCGAGAAACAUAUCCUUAUUCCAGUAAGGAUAAUUUUGACCGUUGUCCAAUGAUCUACUCCUAGAUCACUAUUGUACUCCCUUGCCAAAAUCAGUGUAGGGUAUACAAUAGAUCUGGUACACAGCAUGGCAUACUUUAUAGAACCUAUGGCCGAGGCAUAGGGAAUGACUUUCAUUCUUUUUCUAUCUUCUGCCGUGGUCGGGCUUUGAGUCUUACUCAAUUUCACACCUUGUAACACAGGCAAGAAACUCUUUCUUUGACUAUUCCAUUUUGAACCACUUCAAAAUCUUGUUAAGGUAUGUACUCAUUGAAAAAACUUAUCAAGCGUCUUGAUCUAUCUCUAUAGAUCUUGAUGCUCAAUAUGUAAGCAGCUUCACCGAGGUCUUUGUUUGAAAAACUCCUUUCAAACACUCCUUUAUGCUUUGCAGAAUAAUUCUACAUUAUUUCCGAUCAACAAUAUGUCAUUCACAUAUACUUAUCAGAAAUGUUGUAGUGCUCCCACUCACUUUCUUGUAAAUACAGGCUUCACCGCAAGUCUGUAUAAAACUAUAUCCUUUGAUCAACUUAUCAAAGCGUAUAUUCCAACUCCGAGAUACUUGCGCCAGUCCAUAGAUGGAUCGCUGGAGCUUGCAUAUUUUGUUAGCACCUUUAGGAUUGACAAAACCUUCUGGUUGCAUCAUAUACAACUCUUCUUUAAUAAAUCCAUUAAGGAAUGCAGUUUUGUUUAUCCAUUUGCCAGAUUUCAUAAAAUGCGGCAAUUGCUAACAUGAUUCGGACAGACUUAAGCAUAGAUACGAGUGAGAAACUCUCAUCGUAGUCAACACCUUAAACUUGUCGAAAAACCUUUUUGCGACAAUUCUAGCUUUGUAGAUAGUAACACUACUAUCAGCGUCCGUCUUCCUCUUGAAGAUCCAUUUAAUCUCAAUGGCUCGCCGAUCAUUGGGCAAGUCAAUCAAAGUCCAUACUUUGUUCUCAUACAUGGAUCUCAUCUCAGAUUUCAUGGCCUCAAGCCAUUUUGCGGAAUCUGGGCUCACCAUCGCUUCUUCAUAGUUUGUAGGUUCGUCAUGGUCUAGUAACAUAACCUCCAGAACAGGAUUACCGUACCACUCUGGUGUGGAUCUUACUCUGGUUGACCUAUGAGGUUUAGUAACAACUUGAUCUGAAAUUUCAUGAUCAUCAUCAUUAACUUCCUCACUCAUUGGUAUAGUCGUCACAGGAACCGUUUUCUGUGAUGAACUACUUUCCAAUAAGGGAGCAGGUACAGUUACCUCAUCAAGUUCUACUUUCCUCCCACUCACUUCUUUCGAGAGAAACUCCUUCUCUAGAAAGGAUCCAUUCUUAGCAACGAAUGUCUUGCCUUCAGAUCUGUGAUAGAAGGUGUACCCAACAGUCUCCUUUGGGUAUCCUAUGAAGAUACAUUUCUUCGAUUUGGGUUCUAGCUUAUCAGGUUGAAGCUUUUUCACAUAAGCAUCGCAGCCCCAAACUUUAAGAAACGACAACUUUGGUUUCUUGCCAAACCACAGUUCAUAAGGCGUCGUCUCAACGGAUUUUAGAUGGUGCCCUAUUUAACGUGAAUGCAGCUGUCUCUAAUGCAUAACCCCAAAACAAUAGUGGUAGAUCGGUAAGAGACAUCAUAUAUCGCACCAUAUCUAAUAAAGUACGGUUACGAUGUUCGGACACACCAUUACACUGUGGUGUUCCAGGUGGCGUGAGUAGUGAAACUAUUUCACAUUGUUUAACUGAAGGCCAAACUCGUAACUCAAAUACUCUUCUCCACGAUCAGAUCGUAGAAACUUUGUUUUUCUUGUUACGAUUAUUUUCCACUUCACUCUGAAAUUAUAUAAACUUUUCAAAUGUUUCAGACUUCUGUUUCAUUAAGUAGAUAUACCCAUAUCUGCUCAAAUCAUCUGUGAAGGUCAGAAAAUAAUGAUACCUGCUACGAGCCUCAAUAUUCAUCGGACCACAUACAUCUGUAUGUAUGAUUUCCAACAAAUCUGUUGCUCUCUCCAUAGUUCCGGAGAACGGUGUUUUAGUCAUCUUGCCCAUGAGGCACGGUUCGCAAGCAUCAAGUGAUUCAUAAUCAAGUGAUUCCAAAAUCCCAUCAGUAUGGAGUUUCUUCAUGCGCUUUACACCAAUAUGACCUAAACGGCAGUGCCACAAAUAAGUUCCACUAUCAUUAUUAACUUUGCAUCUUUUGGCUUCAUUAUUAUGAAUAUGUGUAUCACUACGAUCGAGAUCCAACAAACCAUUUUAUUGGGUGUAUUACCAUAGAAGGUUUUAUUCAUGUAAACAGAACAACAAUUAUUCUCUAAUUUAAAUGAAUAACCGUAUUGCAACAAACAUGAUCAAAUCAUAUUCAUGCUCAACGCAAACACCAAAUAACACUUAUUUAGGUUCAACACUAAUCCCGAAAGUGUAGGGAGCGUGCGAUGAUGAUCAUAUCAAUCUUGGAACCACUUCCAACACACAUCGUCACUUUACCCUUAACUAGUUUCUGUUCAUUCUGCAACUCCCGUUUCGAGUUACUACUCUUAGCAACUGAACCAGUAUCAAAUGCCGAGGGGUUGCUACGAACACUAGUAAAAUACACAUUAAUAAUCUGUAUAUCAAAUAUACCUUUAUUCACUUUUGCCAUCCUUCUUAUCCGCCAAAUACUUGGGGCAGUUCCGCUUCCAGUGACCAGUCCCUUUGCAGUAGAAGCACUUAGUCUCAGGCUUAGGUACAGACUUGGGCUUCUUCACUUGAGUAGCAACUUGCUUGCCGUUCUUUUUGAAGUUCCCCUUCUAUCCCUUUGCCCUUUUCUUGAAACUAGUGGUCUCAUCAACCAUCAACACUUGAUGUUUUUCUUGAUUUCUACCUUCGUCGAUUUCAGCAUCACGAAGAGCUCGGGAAUUACUUUCGUCAUCCCUUGCAUACUAUAGUUCAUCACGAAGUUCUACUAACUUGGUGAUGGUGACUAGAGAAUUCUGUCAAUCACUAUUUUAUCUGGAAGAUUAACUCCCACUUGAUUCAAGCGAUUGUAGUACCCAGACAAUCUGAGCACAUGCUCACUGCUUGAGCUAUUCUCCUCCAUCUUUUAGCUAUAAAACUUAUUGGAGACUUCAUAUCUCUCAACUCGGGUAUUUGCUUGAAAUAUUAACUUCAACUCCUGGAACAUCUCAUAUGGUCCAUGACAUUCAAAACGUCUUUGAAGUCCCGAUUCUAAGCCGUUAAGCAUGGUGCACUAAACUAUCAAGUAGUCAUCAUAUUGAGCUAGCCAAACGUUCAUAACGUCUGCAUCUGCUCCUGUAAUAGGUCUGUCACCUAGCGGUGCAUCAAGGACAUAAUUUUUCUGUGCAGCAAUGAGGAUAAUCCUCAGAUCACGGAUCCAAUCCGCAUCUUUGCUACUAACAUCUUUCAACAUAAUUUUUCUCUAGGAACAUAUCAAAAAUAAACACAGGGAAGCAACAACGCGAGCUAUUGAUCUACAACAUAAUUUGCAAAAUACUAUCAGGACUAAGUUCAUGAUAAAUUUAAGUUCAAUUAAUCAUAUUACUUAAGAACUCCCACUUAGAUAGACAUCUCUCUAAUCAUCUAGGUGAUUACGUGAUCCAAAUCAACUAAACCAUAACCGAUCAUCACGUGAAAUGGAGUAGUUUUCAAUGGUGAACAUCACUAUGUUGAUCAUAUCUACUAUAUGAUUCACGCUCGACCUUUCGGACUCAGUGUUCCGAGGCCAUAUCUACAUAUGCUAGGCUCGUCAAGUUUAACCUGAGUAUUCCGCGUGUGCAAUUGUUUUGCACCCGUUGUAUUUGAACGUAGAGCCUAUCACACCCGAUCAUCACGUGGUGUCUCAGCACGAAGAACUUUCGCAACGGUGCAUACUCAAGGAGAACACUUUUAUCUUGAAAUUUUAGUGAGAGAUCAUCUUAUAAUGCUACCGUCAAUCAAAGUAAGAUAAGAUGCAUAAAAGAUAAACAUCACAUGCAAUCAAUAUAAGUGAUAUGAUAUGGCCAUCAUCAUCUUGUGCUUGUGAUCUCCAUCUCCGAAGCACCGUCAUGAUCACCAUCGUCACCGGCGCGACACCUUGAUCUCCAUCGUAGCAUCGUUGUCGUCUCGCCAACUAUUGCUUUUACGACUAUCGCUACCGCUUAGUGAUAAAGUAAAACAAUUACAUGGCGAUUGCAUUGCAUACAAUAAAGCGACAACCAUAUGGCUCCUGCCAGUUGCCGAUAACUCGGUUACAAAACAUGAUCAUCUCAUACAAUAAAAUAUAGCAUCAUGUCUUGACCAUAUCACAUCACAACAUGCCCUGCAAAAACAAGUUAGACGUCCUCUACUUUGUUGUUGCAAGUUUUACGUGGCUGCUACGGGCUUAGCAAGAACCGUUCUUACCUACGCAUCAAAACCACAACGAUAGUUUGUCAAGUUGGUGCUGUUUUAACCUUCGCAAGGACCGGCUGUAGCCACACUCGGUUCAACUAAAGUGAGAGAGACAGACACCCGCCAGUCACCUUUAAGCAACGAGUGCUCGCAACGGUGAAACCAGUCUCGCGUAAGCGUACGCGUAAUGUCGGUCCGGGCCGCUUCAUCUCACAAUACCGCCGAACCAAAAUAUGACAUGCUGGUAAGCAGUAUGACUUAUAUCGCCCACAACUCACUUCUGUUCUACUCGUGCAAAUAACAUCAACGCAUAAAACCAGGCUCUGAUACCACUGUUGGGGAACGUAGUAAUUUCAAAAAAUUCCUACGCACACGCAAGAUCAUGGUGAUGCAUACCAACGAGAGGGGAGAGUGUUGUCCACGUACCCUCGUAGACCGAAAGCGGAAGCGUUAACACAACGCGGUUGAUGUAGUCGUACGUCUUCACGAUCUGACCGAUCAACUACCGAACGCACGGCACCUCCGAGUUCAGCACACGUUCAGCUCGAUGAUGUCCCACGAACUCCGAUCCAGCCGAGUGUUGAGGGAGAGUUUUGUCAGCACGACGGCGUGGUGACAAUGAUGAUGUUCUACCGACGCAGGGCUUCGCCUAAGCACCGCUACGAUAUUAUCGAGGUGUAAUAUGGUGGAGAGGGGCACCGCACACGGCUAAGAGAUCAAUAGAUCAAUUGUUGUGUCUAUGGGGUGCCCCCCUGCCCCCGUAUAUAAAGGAGCAAGGGGGAAGGUGGCCGGCCUAGAAGGAGGGCGCGCCAAGGGGGGAGUCCUACUCCCAGCGGGAGUAGGACUCCACCUUUCCUUGUUGGAGUAGGAGAAGGGAAGGGAGAAGGAGAAGGAAGGAAGGGGGCGCCCCCCUCCCUAGUCCAAUUCGGACUAGUCCAUGGGGAGGGGUGCAGCCACCCUUUGGGGCCUUUCUCUCCUUUCCCGUAUGGCCCAUUAAGGCCCAAUACGAAUUCCCGUAACUCUUCGGUACUCCGAAAAAUAUCCGAAUCACUCGGAACCUUUCCGAUGUCCGAAUAUAGUCGUCCAAUAUAUCGAUCUUUACGUCUCGAUCAUUUCGAGACUCCUCGUCAUGUCCCCGAUCUCAUCCGGGACCCCGAACUCCUUCGGUACAUCAAAACUCAUAAACUCAUAAUAAAACUGUCAUCGUAACGUUAAGCGUGCGGACCCUCCGGGUUCGAGAACUAUGUAGACAUGACCGAGACACCUCUCCGGUCAAUAACCAAUAGCGGAACCUGGAUGCUCAUAUUGGUUCCCACAUAUUCUACGAAGAUCUUUAUCGGUCAGACCGCAUAACAACAUACGUUGUUCCCUUUGUCAUCGGUAUGUUACUUGCCCGAGAUUCGAUCGUCGGUAUCUCGAUACCUAGUUCAAUCUCGUUACCGGCAAGUCUCUUUACUCGUUCCGUAAUACAUCAUCCCGCAACUAACUCAUUAGUCACAAUUCUUGCAAGGCUUAUAGUGAUGUGUAUUACUGAAUCGGCCCAGAGAUACCUCUCCGACAAUCGGAGUGACAAAUCCUAAUCUCGAAAUACGCCAACCCAACAAGUACCUUUGGAGACACCUGUAGAGCACCUUUAUAAUCACCCAGUUACGUUGUGACGUUUGGUAGCACACAAAGUGUUCCUCCGGUAAACGGGAGUUGCAUAAUCUCAUAGUCAUAGGAACAUGUAUAAGUCAUGAAGAAAGCAAUAGCAACAUACUCAACGAUCGAGUGCUAAGCUGACGGAUGUUGGGGAACGUAGUAAUUUCAAAAAAAUUCCUACGCACAUGCAAGAUCAUGGUGAUGCAUAGCAACGAGAGGGGAGAGUGUUGUCCACGUACCCUCGUAGACCGACAGCGGAAGCGUUAUCACAACGCGGUUGAUGUAGUCGUACGUCUUCACGAUCCGACCGAUCAAGUACCGAACGUACGGCACCUCCGAGUUCUACACACGUUCAGCUCGAUAACGUCCCUCAAACUCUGAUCCAGCCGAGUGUUGAGGAAGAGUUUCGUCAGCACGACGGCGUGGUGACGAUGAUGAUGUUCCACCGACGCAGGGCUUCGCCUAAGUUCCGCAACGGUAUUAUCGAGGUGUAAUAUGGUGGAGGGGGGCACCGCACACGGCUAAAAGAUCAAAGGAUCAAUUGUUGUGUCUCUGGGGUGCCCCCUGCCCCCGUAUAUAAAGGAGCAAGGGGGAGGCAGCCGGCCAAGUGGAGAGGCGCGCCAUAGGGGGGAGUCCUACUCCCACCGGGAGUAGGACUCCUCCUUUCCUUGUGGGAGUAGGAGAAGGGAAGGGGGAAGGAGAAAGAAGGAAGGGUGCGCCCCCCUUCCCUAGUCCAAUUCGGACCAGACCAUGGGGAGGCGUGCGGCCACCUUUUGAGGCCUUUCUCUCCUUUCCCGUAUGGCCCAUUAAGGCCCAAUACGAAUUCCCGUAACUCUCCGGUACUCCGAAAAAUACCCGAAUCACUCGGAACCUUUCCGAAGUCCGAAUAUAGUCGUCCAAUAUAUCGAUUUUUACGUCUCGACCAUUUCGAGACACCUCGUCAUAUCCCCGAUCUCAUCCGGGACUCCGAACUCCUUCGGUACAUCAAAACUCAAUAAAAGUGUCAUCGUAACGUUAAGCGUGCGGACCCUACGGGUUCGAGAACUAUGUAGACAUGACCGAGAUACGUCUCCGGUCAAUAACCAAUAGCGGGACCUGGAUGCCCAUAUUGACUCCCACAUAUUCUACGAAGAUCUUUAUCGGUCAGUCCGCAUAACAACAUAUGUUGUUCCCUUUGUCAACGGUAUGUUACUUGCCCGAGAUUUGAUCGUCGGUAUCUCGAUACCUAGUUCAAUCUCGUUACCGGCAAGUCUCUUUACUCGUUCUGUAACACAUCAUACCGCAACUAACUCAUUAGUCACAAUGCUUGCAAGGCUUAUAGUGAUGUGCAUUACCGAGUGGGCCCAGAGAUACCUCUCCGAUAAUCGGAGUGACAAAUCCUAAUCUCGAAAUACGCCAACCCAACAAGUACCUUUGGAGACACCUGUAGAGCACCUUUAUAAUCACCCAUUUACGUUGUGACGUUUGGUAGCACACAAAGUGUUCCUCCGGUAAACGGGAGUUGCAUAAUCUCAUAGUCAUAGGAACAUGUAUAAGUCAUGAAGAAAGCAAUAGCAACAUACUAAACGAUCGAGUGCUAAGCUAACGGAAUGGGUCAAGUCAAUCACGUCAUUCUCCUAAUGAGGUGAUCCCGUUAAUCAAAUGACAACUUAUGUCUAUGGCUAGGAAACAUAACCAUCUUUGAUUAACGAGCUAGUCAAGUAGAGGCAUACUAGUGACACUCUGUUUGUCUAUGUAUUCACACAUGUAUUAUGUUUCCGGUUAAUACAAUUCUAGCAUGAAUAAUAAACAUUUAUCAUGAUAUAAGGAAAUAUAUACUACUUUAUUAUUGCCUCUAGGGCAUAUUUCCUUCAGUCUCCCACUUGCACUAGAGUCAAUAAUGUAGUUCACAUCGCCAUGUGAUUUAACAUCAAUAAUUCACAUCACCAUGUGAUUAACACCCAUAGUUCACAUCUCUAUGUGACCAACACUCAAAGGGUUUACUAGAGUCAAUAAUCUAGUUCACAUCGCUAUGUGAUUAACACCCAAAGAGUACUAAGGUGUGAUCAUGUUUUGAUUGUGAGAUAAUUUUAGUCAACGGGUCUGUCACAUUCAGAUCCGUAAGUAUUUUGCAAAUUUCUAUGUCUACAAUGCUUUGCACGGAGCUACUCUAGAUAAUUGCUCCCACUUUCAAUAUGUAUCUAGACCGAGACUUAGAGUCAUCUAGAUUUAGUGUCAAAACUUGCAUCGACGUAACCCUUUACGACGAACCUUUUGUCACUUCCAUAAUCGAGAAACAUAUCCUUAUUCUACUAAGGAUAAUUUUGACCGCUGUCCAGUGAUCUACUCCUAGAUCACUAUUGUACUCCCUUGCCAAAAUCAGUGUAGGGUAUACAAUAGAUCUGGUACACAGCAUGGCAUACUUUAUAGAACCUAUGGCCGAGGCAUAGGGAAUGACUUUCAUUCUUUUUCUAUCUUCUGCCGUGGUAGGGCUUUGAGUCUUACUCAAUUUCACACCUUGUAACACAGGCAAGAAACUCUUUCUUUGACUAUUCCAUUUUGAACCACUUCAAAAUCUUGUUAAGGUAUGUACUCAUUGAAAAAACUUAUCAAGCGUCUUGAUCUAUCUCUAUAGAUCUUGAUGCUCAAUAUGUAAGCAGCUUCACCGAGGUCUUUGUUUGAAAAACUCCUUUCAAACACUCCUUUAUGCUUUGCAGAAUAAUUCUACAUUAUUUCCGAUCAACAAUAUGUCAUUCACAUAUACUUAUCAGAAAUGUUGUAGUGCUCCCACUCACUUUCUUGUAAAUACAGGCUUCACCGCAAGUCUGUAUAGCACUAUAUCCUUUGAUCAACUUAUCAAAGUGUAUAUUCCAACUCCGAGAUGCUUGCACCAGUCCAUAGAUGGAUUGCUGGAGCUUGCAUAUUUUGUUAGCACCUUUAGGAUUGACAAAACCUUCUGGUUGCAUCAUAUACAACUCUUCUUUAAUAAAUCCAUUAAGGAAUGUAGUUUUGUUUUAUCCAUUUGCCAAAUUUCAUAAAAUGCGGCUAUUGCUAACAUGAUUCAGACAGACUUAAGCAUAGAUACGAGUGAGAAGCUCUCAUCGUAGUCAACAGCUUGAACUUGUCGAAAAACCUUUUUGCGACAAUUCUAGCUUUGUAGAUAGUAACACUACUAUCAGCGUCUGUCUUCCUCUUGACGAUCCAUUUUUUUCUCAAUUGCUUGCCGAUCAUCGGGCAAGUCAACCAAAGUCCAUACUUUGUUCUCAUACAUGGAUGCCAUCUCAGAUUUCAUGGCCUCAAGCCAUUUUGCGGAAUCUGGGCUCACCAUCGCUUCUUCAUAGUUCAUAGGUUCGUCAUGGUCUAGUAACAUAACUUCCAGAACAGGAUUACCGUACCACUCUGGUGUGGAUCUUACUCUGGUUGAUCUACGAGGUUCAGUAAUAACUUGAUCUGAAGUUUCAUGAUCAUCAUCAUUAACUUCCUCACUAAUUGGUGUAGGUGUCUCAGAAACAGGUUUCUGUGAUGAUCUACUUUCCAAUAAGGGAGCAGGUAUAGUUACCUCAUCAAGUUCUACUUUCCUCCCACUCACUUCUUUCGAGAGAAACUCCUUCUCUAGAAAAUUUCCCAAUUUAGCAACAAAAGUUUUUGCCUUCGGAUCUGUGAUAGAAGGUAUACCCAACAGUCUCCUUUGGGUAUCCUAUGAAGACACAUUUCUCCGAUUUGGGUUUGAGCUUAUCAGGAUGAAACUUUUUCACAUAAGCAUCGCAACCCCAAAAUUUUAAGAAACGAGAACUUUGGUUUCUUGCUAAACCUCAGUUCAUAAGGCGUCGUCUCAACGGAUUUUGAUGGUGCCCUAUUUAACGUGAAUGCAGCUGUCUCUAAUGCAUAACCCCAAAACGAUAGUGGUAAAUUGGUAAGAAACAUCAUAGAUUGCACUAUAUCCAAUGAAGUACGGUUAUGACGUUCGGACACACCAUUAUGCUGUGGUGUUCCAGGUGGCGUGAGUAGUGAAACCAUUUCACAUUGUUUUAACUGAAGGCCAAACUCGUAACUUAAAUACUAUUCUCCACGAUCAGAUCGUAGAAACUUUAUUUUCCUGUUACGAUGAUUUUCUGCUUCACUCUGAAAUUAUAUGAACUUUUCAAAUGUUUUAGACUCUUGUUUCAUUAAGUAGAUAUACCCAUAUCUGCUCAAAUCAUCUAUGAAGGUCAGAAAAUAAUGAUACCUGCUACGAGCCUCAAUAUUCAUCGGACCACAUACAUCUGUAUGUAUGAUUUCCAACAAAUCUGUUGCUCUCUCCAUAGUUCCGGAGAACGGCGUUUUAGUCAUCUUGCCCAUGAGGCACGGUUCGCAAGCAUCAAGUGAUUCCAAAAUCACAUCAGUAUGGAGUUUCUUCAUGCGCUUUACACCAAUAUGACCUAAACGGCAGUGCCACAAAUAAGUUGCACUAUCAUUAUUAACUUUGCAUCUUUUGGCUUCAAUAUUAUGAAUAUGUGUAUCACUACGAUCGAGAUCCAACAAACCAUUUUCAUUGGCGUGUAUGACCAUAGAAGGUUUUAUUCAUGUAAACAGAACAACAAUUGUUCUCUAACUUUAAAUGAAUAACCGUAUUGCAAUAAACAUGAUCAAAUCAUAUUCAUGCUCAACGCAAACACCAAAUAACACUUAUUUAGUUUCAACACUAAUCCCGAAAGUAUAGGGAGUGUGCGAUGAUGAUCAUAUCAAUUUUGGAACUACUUCCAACACUCAUCGUCACCUUGCCUUUUACUAGUCUCUGUUUAUUCUGCAAAUCCCGUUUUCGAGUUACUACUCUUUAGCAACUGAACCAGUAUCAAUUACCGAGGGGUUGCUAUAAACACUAGUAAGGUACACAUUAAUAAUCUGUAUAUCAAAUAUACCUUUGUUCACUUUGCCAUCCUUCUUAUCCACCAAAUAGUUGGGGUAGUUCCGCUUCCAGUGACCAGUCCCUUUGCAGUAGAAGCACUUAGUCUCAGGCUUAGGACCAGACUUAGGCUUCUUCACUUGAGCAGCAACUUGCUUGCCGUUCUUCUUGAAGUUCCCCUUCUUCCCUUUGCCCUUUACUUGAAACUAGUGGUCUCGUCAACCAUCAACACUUGAUGUUUUUCUUGAUUUCUACCUUCGUCGAUUUCAGCAUCACGAAGAGCUCGGGAAUUACUUUCGUCAUCCCUUGCAUACUAUAGUUCAUCACGAAGUUCUACUAACUUGGUGAUGGUGACUAGAGAAUUCUGUCAAUCACUAUUUUAUUUGGAAGAUUAACUCCCACUUGAUUCAAGCGAUUGUAGUACCCAGCCAAUCUGAGCAUAUGCUCACUAGUUGAGCGAUUCUCCUCCUUCUUUUAGCUAUAGAACUUGGUGGAGACUUCAUAUCUCUCAACUCGGGUAUUUGCUUGAAAUAUUAACUUCAACUCCUGGAACAUCUCAUAUGGUCCAUGACGUUCAAAACGUCUUUGAAGUCCCGAUUCUAAGCCGUUAAGCAUGGUGCACUAAACUAUCAAGUAGUCAUCAUAUUGAGCUAGCCAAACGUUCAUAACGUCUGCAUCUGCUCCUGCAAUAGGCCUGUCACCUAGCGGUGCAUCAAGGACAUAAUUUUUCUGUGCAGCAAUGAGGAUAAUCCUCAGAUCAAGGAUCCAAUCCGCAUCUUUGCUACUAACAUCUUUCAACAUAAUUUUUCUCUAGGAACAUAUCAAAAAUAAACACAGGGAAGCAACAACGCGAGCUAUUGAUCUACAACAUAAUUUGCAAAAUACUAUCAGGACUAAGUUCAUGAUAAAUUUAAGUUCAAUUAAUCAUAUUACUUAAGAACUCCCACUUAGAUAGACAUCCCUCUAAUCCUCUAAGUGAUCACGUGAUCCAUAUCAACUAAACCAUGUCCGAUCAUCACGUGAGAUGGAGUAGUUUCAACGGUGAACAUCACUAUGUUGAUCAUAUCUACUAUAUGAUUCACGCUCGACCUUUCGGUCUCCGUGUUCCGAGGCCAUAUCUGUUAUAUGCUAGGCUCGUCAAGUUUAACCUGAGUAUUCCGCGUGUGCAACUAUUUUGCACCCGUUGUAUUUGAACGUAGAGCCUAUCGCACCCGAUCAUCACGUGGUGUCUCAGCACGAAGAACUUUCGCAAUGGUGCAUACUCAGGGAGAACACUUAUACUUUGAUAAUUUAGUGAAGGAUCAUCUUAUAAUGCUACCGUCAAACAAAGCAAGAUAAGAUGCAUAAAGGAUUAACAUCACAUGCAAUCAAUAUAAGUGAUAUGAUAUGGCCAUCAUCAUCUUGUGCUUGUGAUCUCCAUCUCUGAAGCACCGUGCUCGUGAUCUCUAUCUCCGAAGCACCGUCAUGAUCACCAUCGUCACCGGCACGACACCUUGAUCUCCAUCGUAGUAUCGUUGUCGUCUCGCCAACUAAUUGCUUUUACGACUAUCGCUACCGCUUAGUGAUAAAGUAAAACUAUUACAUGGUGAUUGCAUCUCAUACAAUAAAGCGACAACCAUAUGGCUCCUGCCAGUUGUCGAUAACUCUGUUACAAAACAUGAUCAUCUCAUACAACAAAUUAUAUCACAUCAUGUCUUGACCAUAUCACAUCACAACAUGCCCUGCAAAAACAAGUUAUACGUCCUCUACUUUGUUGUUGCAAGUUUUACGUGGCUGCUACGGGCUUAGCAAGAACCGUUCUUACCUACGCAUCAAAACCACAACGAUAGUUUGUCAAGUUGGUGUUGUUUUAACCUUCGCAAGGACCGGGCGUAGCCACACUCGGUUCAACUAAAGUGAGAGAGACAGACACCCGCCAGUCACCUUUAAGCAACGAGUGCUCGCAAUGGUGAAACCAGUCUCGCGUAAGCGUACGCGUAAUGUCGGUCCGGGCGCUUCAUCUCACAAUACCGCUGAACCAAAGUAUGACAUGCUGGUAAGCAGUAUGACUUAUAUCGCCCACAACUCACUUGUGUUCCACUCGUGCAUAGCAUCAACGCAUAAAACCAGGCUCUGAUACCACUGUUGGGGAACGUAGUAAUUUCAAAAAAAAUCCUAUGCACACGCAAGAUCAUGGUGAUGCAUAGCAACGAGAGGGGAGAGUGUUGUCCACGUACCCUCGUAGACCGACAGCGGAAGCGUUAUCACAACGCGGUUGAUGUAGUCGUACGUCUUCACGAUCCGACCGAUCAAGUACCGAACGUACGGCACCUCCGAGUUCUACACACGUUCAGCUCGAUAACGUCCCUCGAACUCCGAUCCAGCCGAGUGUUGAGGGAGAGUUUCGUCAGCACGACGGCGUGGUGACGAUGAUGAUGUUCCACCGACGCAGGGCUUCGCCUAAGCUCCGCAACGGUAUUAUCGAGGUGCAAUAUGGUGGAGGGGGGCACCGCACACGGCUAAGAGAUCUCAAGGAUCAAUUGUUGUGUCUCUGGGGUGCCCCCCUGCCCCCGUAUAUAAAGGAGCAAGGGGGAGGCAGCCGGCCAAGGGGAGAGGCGCGCCAUAGGGGGGAGUCCUACUCCCACCGGGAGUAGGACUCCUCCUUUCCUUGUGGGAGUAGGGGAAGGGAAGGGGGAAGGAGAAAGAAGGAAGGGUGCGCCCCCUUUCCCUAGUCCAAUUCGGACCAGACCAUGGGGAGGGGUGCGGCCACCUUUUGAGGCCUUUCUCUCCUUUCCCGUAUGGCCCAUUAAGGCCCAAUACGAAUUCCCGUAACUCUCCGGUACUCCGAAAAAUACCCGAAUCACUCGGAACCUUUCCGAAGUCCGAAUAUAGUCGUCCAAUAUAUCGAUUUUUACGUCUCGACCAUUUCGAGACACCUCGUCAUAUCCCCGAUCUCAUCCGGGACUCCGAACUCCUUCGGUACAUCAAAACUCAAUAAAACUGUCAUCGUAACGUUAAGCGUGCGGACCCUACGGGUUCGAGAACUAUGUAGACAUGACCGAGACACGUCUCCGGUCAAUAACCAAUAGCGGGACCUGGAUGCCCAUAUUGACUCCCACAUAUUCUACGAAGAUCUUUAUCGGUCAGACCGCAUAACAACAUACGUUGUUCCCUUUGUCACCGGUAUGUUACUUGCCCGAGAUUUGAUCGUCGGUAUCUCGAUACCUAGUUCAAUCUCGUUACCGGCAAGUCUCUUUACUCGUUCCGUAACACAUCAUACCACAACUAACUCAUUAGUCACAAUGCUUGCAAGGCUUAUAGUGAUGUGCAUUACCGAGUGGGCCCAGAGAUACCUCUCUGAUAAUCGGAGUGACAAAUCCUAAUCUCGAAAUACGCCAACCCAACAAGUACCUUUGGAGACACCUGUAGAGCACCUUUAUAAUCACCCAUUUACGUUGUGACGUUUGGUAGCACACAAAGUGUUCCUCCGGUAAACGGGAGUUGCAUAAUCUCAUAGUCAUAGGAACAUGUAUAAGUCAUGAAGAAAGCAAUAGCAACAUACUAAACGAUCGAGUGCUAAGCUAACGGAAUGGGUCAAGUCAAUCACGUCAUUCUCCUAAUGAGGUGAUCUCGUUAAUCAAAUGACAACUUAUGUCUAUGGCUAGGAAACAUAACCAUCUUUGAUUAACGAGCUAGUCAAGUAGAGGCAUACUAGUGACACUCUGUUUGUCUAUGUAUUCACACAUGUAUUAUGUUUUCGGUUAAUACAAUUCUAGCAUGAAUAAUAAACAUUUAUCAUGAUAUAAGGAAAUAUAUAAUACUUUAUUAUUGCCUCUAGGGCAUAUUUCCUUCACNNNNNNNNNNGAUCAAGUGCUAAGCCAACGGAAUGGGUCAAGUCAAUCACAUCAUUCUCCUAAUGAUGUGAUCCCGUUAAUCAAAUGACAACUCAUGUCUAUGGCUAGGAAACAUAACCAUCUUUGAUCAACGAGCUAGUCAAGUAGAGGCAUACUAGUGACACUCUGUUUGUCUAUGUAUUCACACAUGUAUCAUGUUUCCGGUUAAUACAAUUCUAGCAUGAAUAAUAAACAUUUAUCAUGAAAUAAGGAAAUAAAUAAUAACUUUAUUAUUGCCUCUAGGGCAUAUUUCCUUCAAGAGCACCCAAACACGAGCAGUUAGUGAGGGAACUGCAGUGCCCAAAGCACGAGGACCACCACUCCGAAUCCCAACUCAACGCUUAAAGGAGAAGAAGAUUUGUUCUCAGGUCAGGUUCUGUAGCUAUGGUUCAUACUCCUUUGCUCUUGCAUUACUGUAUUUACUCAUACCAACUAUUUUCAAUUUUGAAGGAUGGAAUUGAAACUCCAAUGGCGCAACAGGUAUGUUUUAAACCUGUUUCUGUAACUGGUUUGCUGUUGUAACCUGCUCUAUGUUGAUUUCAGUUUCAAUUGAAUAAACAGUUACGUUCUCAUGUCAUGCACAUUACAAGUGUUGUUAUUGCUCUAUAGUUACCCACACUUAUAUUCUGUCUAUUCUGCUUUGUCUUGAACAAAUAUUAUUUGAACUGUGUCUCUAUCUUGAUUUGGCAACAAAAACUAGAAUGAUAUAGACCAUAAAGUGACCAUGGUACAUAGAUAUAUGUUUGUUUCAUGCUGUUAUCCUGUCCACUUUACUAUUGAACUCAUUUACCAAAAUGAGUUUCAUAUACAACAUGGUAAACAUGUGAUGUGUCUGCUUGUUUCUCUUUUAGAAUGCGGACAAAAUAUUGGAGAACAGUACCGCGUUAUCCAAUGGUACAGGAAGUAAUGCAGAUAAGGUUCAAGAUAGUGAGACAUCCCUGUUGGUCUCCAAAAAAGCUGAUAAAAACUAUCUUGACGACAGUGAGGGAACCCAAAAGUCCUGUCUUGAUGUAGUGUUCGAGUUACUGGCCACUACUGCUGGCACAAGCUCUUCGAACUCGCUGCCUGAAUCAGUUCGUCUUCUUGAGUCUCAACUUCAAGUUGAAAGACAUCGAUCAGAUGUGCUGCGACAGGAAGCUGAAGGACUGAGGAAGUCCCUGCAGAAUUCAGAUGCAUAUUUUCUGGUGCAACAGCAAGCGCUGGAGGAUUUAAGCGCCAAACAAGAGAAAGUUAAUAAGCUUGCUAAGCAUCUUGCCAGCAUUAUGGGUACCCAGGAUAUUGUUUCUUGAGAUCUUCUGAAGUGGUUUUAGUUCUGGAUUUGUUUUGCUGCGGCGUUUAUUUGCGUUGGUCGCCAACUUUGACAACCAGUGUAUAUGAUAUGCUGCUUUGUUCCCUAUAUUUGCACUGGUGGCGAACUUUGAUGCCCAGUGGAUGUAAUAUGUGUAAUAGCCGUGAAAGCCUAGCGUUAGUUGCUUGCUUAUUUAUUUCCUUGUUGUCUUGUUUAUUUGUUUGCUUGUAGUCAUUGCAGUUCUUUUUCCGCGGUUAGCUAGUGGCUGCAAUAACCUAUUUUUUAAAACUAGGCCACAAUAACCAUGGGCUAAUAUUUAUUGUAGUGACACUGGGCCUCCUACUGGCCGUAGAAACAGUGGGCCUUCUACGGGCCGUAGAAACAAUGGGCCUUCUACGGGCCGUAGAAACAAUGGGCCUUCUGCGGGUCGUAUCAUCAAUGGGCCUUAUACGGGCCGUAUGAUCGAUUGGCCAAACAUGGGCCAAACAGACCGCAUUAUGGCCGUAAACGGGCUAGAGUUGGAAUCGUCCGUUCAUGGGCCGACCAUAACGGGCCAUCGUUAAUAGGCCGUAUUUGAUGACGCUAUGAAAACGGCCCAACGUAUUAACGGACCACAAACGGGCCGACUAUAACCACGGGCUGAAUUUGGCCCACAAGCAGAAAAUGACAGUAACGGGCCGUAAGUAAACGAAUGAUGUAAAUGAGCCCAAGAAUAAAUGGGCUCUGAGAAGGCCGAAAGAUAACAUGGGCUCGAAACGGCCCAAUGGAAUAACGGGCCGUUAAUGGGUAUAAAGUGAUACACUGUUCAUUACGGGCCAGUUUCACCACGGGCCGUUAAUGGGUGUAAAGUGAUACACUGUUCAUUACGGGCCAAUUUCACCAUGGGCCGUUAAUAGGCCAAGAGUUACAUAGGGCCUCAUAUGGGCCGAAAGACGUCAUGGGCCAUACAUGCGCUAGAAGUGAAAACGGGUGGAAUCAUAUUGGAUGGCCCAGAUGACGCUAUUGGGCCUAAUUCGGAUAGGGCGUAACGGGCCUUGGGUUAGCCGGUUGUAAAUGGGCUAUAUGCGAACAGGCCGUUAACAGGCUUUCCAUGGGCCGGCCCGCCACCUUUUGACCAAGUCAAACGGGCCGGCCUUUUCAGAGGAAUGGGCCUCUGUUGGGCCGUGCCACGUGUCGACGUAUCAUAGGCGCCUUCCGUCCAAUGAGUGGAUGACAUUUGUCCCAACGAUGAGCCAACACGUGUUUCCUCCAGCCAAUGAUGAUUUUACACGUGAAAAUCCCCAUUGGUCGGGGCUGUUAACGGGUUAUCGGAUCCAAAACCCGACCCGAUAGCUUAACGGCAUUCCGUUACGGUGGAUGCCACGUGUCGGUCACCCUUGACGAAAGCACUUCUGUGACGCGCGAUUUAUCGUCAUGGAAGUGGACGCUUCCGUGAUGAUAAUUUUGGCAAUGUCAUGGAACACUUCUACGACAGCACAGGUAUGACUAUCUUGAUUCUGUCAUAAAUUUGUCAUGGAUGUACAUGCAUGACAGAAAACGCGACCUACUGUGACAAACACGUAUCAUCACGGAAGUGUAUUUUUUUUGUAGUGUAAUCAUCCUUUUUAGUAGCUUUAUUUAGUUUGCGGAAAUCAAUUACCAUCCUAUAACCUGUAAUACUUCUUUGCGGGAUCAAUCCAUCUUUAUCAUUAGGAACGACAGUAAUACCUCCCUUCUUAAGGACACAAUGGACAGGACUUACCCACUGACUAUCAGCAACGGGAUAAAUUAUACCUGCCUCAAGGAGCUUUAAUAUUUCCUUUCUUACCACUUCUUUCAUCUUAGGAUUUAGCCGUCGUUGGUGAUCAAUAACUAGUUUGGCGUAUUUCUCCAAAUUUAUUUUGUGUUGACAUAGAGUGGGACUAAUGCCCUUAAGAUCAUCAAGAGUAUAUCCAAUAGCAGCACGGUGCUUCUUCAGAGUUUUCAAUAAUUUUUCUUCCUCCUUCUCUGAAAGGUUAGCACUAAUAAUAACAUGAUAUAUCUCCUUUUCAUCAAGAUAAGCAUAUUUAAGAGUAUCAGGUAACGGUUUAAGCUCAAACACGGGAUCACUCUUGGGUGGAGGAGGAUCCCCUAGGAUUUCAACAGGCAAGUUGUGUUUCAGAAUAGGUCCCUAUUUAAAGAAUACUUCAUCUAUUCCCCUUCUUUCAUUCAUGAACAUAUCAUUCUCAUGGUCGAGCAAAUAUUGUUCUAAAGGAUCAUUAGGAGGCACGGCAAUAGAAGCAAGACCAAUAAUUUCAUCUUUACUAGGCAAUUCCUCAUCACGGUGUUGUGUACUAAAUUUAGCAAAAUUAAACUCAUGAGACAUAUCACCCAAACCAAUAGUAACAACAUUAUUUUUGCAGUCUAUCCUAGAAUUAACAGUGGGGUCUACCAAAUAUGAUGGGACAAAAGCUAUCUUGUGGGGAACUAAGAACAAGAAAAUCAGCAGGAUAUUUAACCUUCCCACACAAGACUUCAACAUCUCUAACAAUCCCAAUCGGUGAAAUAGUAUCUCUAUUGGCAAGCUUAAUGGUAACAUCGAUAUCUUCUAUCUCAGCAGGUGCAAUAUCAUGCAUAAUUUCUUCGUAUAAAGAAUGAGGUAUUGCACUAGCACUAGCACCCAUACCACACAAGCCAUGAUAACAAUGAUCGCCUAUUUUAACAGAAAUAACGGACAUGCCUACCACAGGUCUAUGUUUAUCUUUAGCACCAGGUUUAGCAAUUCUAGCAGUCUCAUUACAGAAGUAAAUAACAUGCCCAUCGAUAUUAUCAGCCAAUAGAUCUUUAACCAUAGAAAUUUUAGGUUCAACUUUAACUUGCUCAGGGGGUUUAUGUGUCCUAAUAUUACUUUUGUUCACUACAGUUGAAGCUUUAGCAUGAUCUUUUAUUCUAACAGGGAAAGGUAGUUUCUCAACAUAAGCAGUAGGAACAGUAGGAUCAUUAUAAGUGAUAGUCUUUUCUUCAACUUUAAUAGGUGCAACUACUUUUACUUCAAUGGGAGGAUUAUAUUUAAACCACUUCUCCUUAGGGAGAUCAACAUGAGUAGCAAAUGAUUCACAGAAAGAAGCUACUAUCUCAGAGUCAAGUCCAUAUUUAGUGCUAAAUUCACGGAAAGCAUCGGUAUCCAUAAAAGAUUUAACACAAUCAAACUUAGGUGUUAUACCUAACUCUUUACCUUCGUCGAGGUCCCAAUCUUCAGAGUUGCGUUUAAUUCUUUCCAAUAAAUCCCAUUUGAAUUCAAUAGUCUUCAUCAUAAAGGAGCCAGUACAAGAAGUAUCGAGCAUGGAUUGAUUAUUACGAGAAAGCCGAGCAUAAAAAUUCCGAAUAAUCAUUUCUCUUGAGAGCUCAUGAUUGGGGCAUGAAUAUAACAUUGACUUAAGCCUCCCCCGAGCUUGAGCGAUGCUUUCUCCUUCGUGAGGCCAAAAAUUAUAUAUAUAAUUACGAUCACGAUGAACAAGAUGCAUAGGAUAAAACUUCUGAUGAAAUUCCAAUUUCAAUCGUUUGUAGUUCCAUGAUCCCAUAUCAUCACAUAGCCUAUUCCAUGUCAAUGCAUCUCCCUUCAAAGAUAAAGGGAAGACCUUCUUCUUAUUGAUAACAUCAUCGGGCCUACCUGCAAGCUUAAAUAAUCCACAAACUUCAUCCACAUAGAUUAAGUGUAAAUCGGGAUGCAAUGUUCCAUCUCCUGUAAAAGGAUUAGCCAGCGGUUUCUCUAUCAUACCCGAAGGAAUUUCAAAGUAAACAUUUUCAGUAGGUUCAGUAGGUUGAGGAGCAACUAUUUGCUCUACUGGUCGGUGUGAAGAUACCCCGAACAAGCCCCUCAAAGGAUUACUUUCCAUAGUAGCAAGUGACAGUGAAUUUCAGCACACUAUAUAAAUUUUUCCUUACCAAAUUCCACUUACCAAAGGUGCUUCACUCCCCGGCAACGGCGCCAGAAAAGAGUCUGAUGACCCACAAGUAUGGGGGAUCUAUCAUAGUCCUUUCGAUAAGUAAGAGUGUCGAACCCAACGAGGAGCAAAAGGAAAUGACAAGCGGUUUUCAGCAAGGUAUUUUCUGCAAGCACUGAAAUUAUAGGUAACAGAUAGUUUUGUGAUAAGGUAAUUUGUAACGAGUAACAAGUAACAAGUGUAAAUAAAGUGCAGCAAGGUGGCCCAAUCCUUUUUGUAGCAAAGGACAAGCCUGGACAAACUCUUAUAUAGAGAAAAGCGCUCCCGAGGACACAUGAGAAUUAUCGUCAAGCUAGUUUUCAUCACGCUCAUAUGAUUCGCGUUCGGUACUUUGAUAAUUUGAUAUGUGGGUGGACCGGUGCUUGGGUGCUGUCCUUACUUGGACAAGCAUCCCACUUAUGAUUAACUCCUAUUGCAAGCAUCCUCAACUACAAAAGAAGUAUUAAGGUAAACCUAACCAUAGCAUGAAACAUAUGGAUCCAAAUCAACCCCUUACGAAGCAACGCAUAAACUAGGGUUUAAGCUUCUGUCACUCUAGCAACCCAUCAUCUACUUAUUACUUCCCAAUGCCUUCCUCUAGGCCCAAACAAUGGUGAAGUGUCAUGUAGUCGACGUUCACAUAACACCACUAGAGGAAAGACAACAUACAUCUCAUCAAAAUAUCGAACGAAUACCAAAUUCACAUGACUACUAAUAGCAAGACUUCUCCCAUGUCCUCAGGAACAAACGUAACUACUCACAAAUCAUAUUCAUGUUCAUAAUCAGAGGGGUAUUAAUAUGCAUAAAGGAUCUGAACAUAUGAACUUCCACCAAAUAAACCAACUAGCAUCAACUACAAGGAGUAAUCAACACUACUAGCAAUCCACAUGUACCAAUCUGAGGCUUUGGGACAAAGAUCGGAUACAAGAGAUGAACUAGGGUUUGAGAGGAGAUGGUGCUGGUGAAGAUGUUGAUGAAGAUUGACCCCCUCCUGAUGAGAGGAUCGUUGGUGAUGAUGAUGGCGAUGAUUUCCCCCUCCCGGAGGGAAGUUUCCCCGGCAGAGCAGCUCUGCCGGAGCCCUAGAUUGGUUCCGCCUCGUGGCGGCGGAAUUUUUUUCCCGAAAGCUUGCUUCUGAUUUUUUCAGGGUAAAAGACUUCAUAUAGCAGAAGAUGGGCACCGGAGGCCUGCUAGGGGGCCCACGAGGCAGGGAGGCGCGCCCCCCACCCUCGUGGCCAGGGUGUGGGCCCCCUCUGGUAUUUUCUUUGCUCAGUAUUUUUUAUAAAUUCCAAAUGACUUCCGUGAAGUUUCAGGACUUUUGGAGUUGUGCAGAAUAGAUCUCCAAUAUUUGCUCCUUUUCCAGCCUAGAAUUCCAGCUGCCGGCAUUCUUCCUCUUCAUGUAAACCUUGUAAAAUAAGAGAGAAUAGGCAUAAGUAUUGUGACAUAACGUGUAAUAACAGCCCAUAAUGCAAUAAAUAUCGAUAUUAAAGCAUGAUGCAAAAUGGAUGUAUCAGGUCUCCUCCAUCCUGGGUAUGAUCUCCGCCCUUGCGGUCAGGGUGGAGCACCACUGCCAAACCUGCUGUGCGAAGGCACAUCCUAAGAGCAAAUGCUGCAUGGUCUCCUCAGGUUGGUCACAAAACGGGCAGGUGACUUGGUGAGGUAGGCCUCUCUGCGCCAGCCUGUCGGAGGUCCAGCAUCUGUUUCUGAUUGCCAGCCACGCGAAAAAACAGCACCUCAACGGAGCCCUCGAUUUCCAGGAAAACGCCGCCGUGGGUGAGAUUUGCCGGCCCAUAUACUUGGCCGCGUUCGCCGACUUUGCCGAGAACGUGCCAUUUCCUUCCCAGGACCAACUCACCCCAUCCUCCACCCCUUCUGUCAGCCGAAUCUCAGUCAAGCUCGUCCAUAGACGUAAGAACUCCUCCAGCUCUGGCAGGGAAAGAUUUGGGCCAACGUCAGCAGCCCAUGUCCCGUUGGGCAGUGCAUCUGACACCAAUGUUUCCCUCCUAAUCCUCGGAGAAAUUCUGCUGUAUAGCACCAGCGCGAGUUCACUUAUCCUGUCCCCCUCGACCCAACGGUCCUCCCAAAACAAGGUGUUCCUACCGUCUCCCAGCGUCGUUCGCGUGGCCGCCUGAGCCAAAUCCAAAGACUCCGGUGGCACAGAAAUUGAAAAUUCCGCCCAAGAUUUCCAUCGGUCUACCCUUUGCAACCAAGGGCAUCGAGCCUGAAGAGCCUUGUUCAACCAACGUAGAUCCUUAUUUUCAUGGAAGAUAUUAAAAAGAUGAAGCAUGUGAGGUACCCUCAAUUCUAUUUUUUUGUAGUUUUCUUUUAUAAACUAAACUAGUGAUAAAACAAGAAACUAAAAGAUUUGAUUGCAAGAUCUAAAGAUAUACCUUCAAGCACUAACCUCCCCGGCAACGGCGCCAGAAAAGAGCUUGAUGUCUACUACGCAACCUUCUUCUUGUAGACGUUGUUGGGCCUCCAAGUGCAGAGGUUUGUAGGACAGUAGCAAAUUUCCCUCAAGUGGAUGACCUAAGGUUUAUCAAUCCCUGGGAGGCGUAGGAUGAAGAUGGUCUCUCUCAAACAACCCUGCAACCAAAUAACAAAGAGUCUCUUGUGUCCCCAACACACCCAAUACAAUGGUAAAUUGUAUAGGUGCACUAGUUCGGCGAAGAGAUGGUGAUACAAGUGCAAUAUGGAUGGUAGAUAUAGGUUUUUGUAAUCUGAAAUUAUAAAAACAGCAAGGUAACUAUUGAUAAAAGUGAGCACAAACGGUAUUGCAAUGCUAGGAAACAAGGCCUAGGGUUCAUACUUUCACUAGUGCAAGUUCUCUCAACAAUAAUAACAUAAUUGGAUCAUAUAACUAUCCCUCAACAUGCAACAAAGAGUCACUCCAAAGUCACUAAUAGCGGAGAACAAACGAAGAGAUUAUGGUAGGGUAUGAAACCACCUCAAAGUUAUUCUUUCUGAUCAAUCUAUUCAAGAGUCCGUAGUAAAAUAACACGAAGCUAUUCUUUCCGUUCGAUCUAUCAUAGAGUUCGUACUAGAAUAACACCUUAAGACACAAAUCAACCAAAACCCUAAUGUCACCUAGAUACUCCAAUGUCACCUCAAGUAUCCGUGGGUAUGAUUAUACGAUAUGCAUCACACAAUCUCAUAUUCAUCUAUUCAACCAACACAAAGAACUUCAAAGAGUGCCCCCAAGUUUCUACCGGAGAGUCAAGACGAAAACGUGUGCCAACCCCUAUGGAUAAGUUCACAAUGUUACGGAACCCGCAAGUUGAUCACCAAAACAUACAUCAAGUGGAUCGCGUGAAUAUCCCAUUGUCACCACAGAUAAGCACAUGCAAGACAUACAUCAAGUGUUCUCAAAUCCUUAAAGACUCAAUCCGAUAAGAUAACUUCAAAGGGAAAACUCAAUUCAUUACAAGAGAGUAGAGGGGGAGAAACAUCAUAAGAUCCAACUAUAAUAGCAAAGCUCGCGAUACAUCAAGAUCGUGCCAAAUCAAGAACACGAGAGAGAGAGAGAGAGAGAGAGAGAGAGAGAUCAAACACAUAGCUACUGGUACAUACCCUCAGCCCCGAGGGUGAACUACUCCCUCCUGGUCAUGGAGAGCACCGGGAUCAUGAAGAUGGCCACCGGUGAUGGAUGUCCCCUCCGGCAGGGUGCCGGAACAGGGUCCCGAUUGGUUUUUGGUGGCUACAGAGGCUUGCGGCGGCGGAACUCCCGAUCUUGGUUAUGUUUUGGGGGUUUCUGUAUAUAUAAGAGGUUUUGGCGCCAGGGACAAGUCAGGGGGGUCUCUGAGGCGGCCACGAGGUAGGGGGCGCGCCCCCCACCCUCGUGGGUGCCUCGGGGCUCUUCUAGUCCAUCUUCGAUGCUCCGUGGGCUUCUUCUGGUCCAAAAAUAAUCUCCGUCAAAUUUCAGGUCAAUUGGACUCCGUUUGGUUUUCCUUUUCUGCAAUACUCAAAAACAAGAAGAAAAAAAACAGAAACUGGCACUGGGCUCUAGGUAAUAGGUUAGUCCAAAAAAUCAUAUAAAAUAGCAUAUAAAUGCAUAUAAAACAUCCUAGAUGGAUAAUAUAAUAGCAUGGAACAAUCAAAAAUUAUAGAAACGUUUUUUUUGACAGAAAGACUGUAAGGGAACCCCCUACAGUAUAAUUGGUGCAACAAAUCCAAAUUGCAAGUACCAUGUCUUGAACCUGGGUGGGUAGGAAGGCAUCAGCCCCUUCCCACCACUAGGCUAUGCCUUAGUCUGCAAAAUUAUAGAUACGUUGGAGACGUAUCAUCUACUACACAACCUUCUUCUUGUAGACGUUGUUGGGCCUCCAAGUGCAGAGGUUUGUAGGACAGUGGCAAAUUUUCCUCAAGUGGAUGACCUAAGGUUUGUCAAUCCGUGGGAGGCGUAGGAUGAAGAUGGUCUCUCUCAAACAACCCUGCAACCAAAUAACGAAAAGUCUCUUGUGUCCCCAACACACCCAAUACAAUGGUAAAUUGUAUAGGUGCACUAGUUCGGCGAAGAGAUGGUGAUACAAGUGCAAUAUGGAUGGUAGAUAUGGGUAUUUGUAAUCUGAAAAUAUAAAAACAGCAAGGUAGCAAGUGGUAAAAGUGAGCGUAAACGGUAUUGCAAUGCUAGGAAACAAGGCCUAGGAUUCAUACUUUCACUAGUGCAAGUUCUCUCAACAAUGAUAACAUAAUUAGAUCAUAUAACAAUCCCUCAACAUGCAACAAAGAGUCACUCCAAAGUCACUAGUAGCGGAGAACAAACGAAGAGAUUAUUGUAGGUACGAAACCACCUCAAAGUUAUUCUUUCCGAUCAAUCCAUUGGCUAUUCAUAUAAGUGUCACAAACAGCCCUAGAGUUCGUAGUAAAAUAACACCUUAAGACACAUAUCAACCAAAACCCUAAUGUCACAUAGAUACUCCAAUGUCACCACAAGUAUCCGCGGGUAUGAUUAUACGAUAUGCAUCACACAAUCUCAGAUUCAUCUAUUCAACCAACACAAAGAACUCCAAAGAGUGCCCCAAAGUUUCAACCGAAGAGUCAAGACGAAAACGUGUGCCAACCCCUAUGCAUAGAUUCCCAAGGUCAGAGAACCCGCAAGUUGAUCACCAAAACAUACAUCAAGUGAAUCAAUAGAAUACCCCAUUGUCACCACGGGUAUCCCACGCAAGACAUACAUCAAGUGUUCUCAAAUCCUUAAAGACUCAAUCCGAUAAGAUAACUUCAAAGGGAAAACUCAAUCCAUUACAAGAGAGUAGAGGGGGAGAAACAUCAUAAGAUCCAACUAUAAUAGCAAAGCUCGCGAUACAUCAAGAUCGUGCCAUAUCAAGAACACGAGAGAGAGAGAGAGAGAGAGAGAGAGACCAAACACAUAGCUACUGGUACAUACCCUCAGCCCCGAGGGUGAACUACUCCCUUCUCGUCAUGGAGAGCGCCGGGAUGAUGAAGAUGGCCACAGGUGAUGAUUCCCCUCUCCGGCAGGGUGCCGGAACAGGGUCCCGAUUGGUUUCUGGUGCCUACAGAGGCUUGCGGCGGCGGAACUCCCGAUCUAGGUUUCUUUCUGGGGGUUUCUGUAUUUAUAGGAAUUUUUGGCGUCGGUCUCACGUCAGGGGGGUCUCCGAGUCAUCCACGAGAUAGGGGGACGCGCCCAGGGGGGUAGGGCGCGCCCUCCACCCUCGUGGAUGGCUCGGGACUCUUCUGGCCCAACUCUUUUACUCCAGGGGCUUCUUUUGGUCCAUCAAAAAUCAUCAAAAAUGGGCACGUCAAUUGGAGUCCGUUUGGUAUUCUUUUUCUGUAAAACCUAAAAACAAGGAAAAAACAGAAACUGGCACUAGGCUCUAGGUUAAUAGGUUAGUCCCAAAAAUCAUAUAAAACAACAUAUAAAUGCAUAUAAAACAUCCAAGAUGGAUAAUAUAAUAGCAUGAAACAAUCAAAAAUUAUAGAUACGUUGGAGACGUAUCACCGUGUGAUCAACAGUUGGCCAACAUAAUCUCACAUUGCCACCUUUGGGACUCCACGAGCAACCUAGGUAGCACCUUCAAUGAGGAGACGAUGAUGCGACAUUGCCACUCGCUAGCCCGGUAGUGGGACCCUAGAGCUUCCCCCGAUGUUCAAAGAGGGGGAGCACGACCACUGCCAUGCCAACACCUCCAAGGAGCGGAUGACACCCACAAGAGUUGAUGUCAUCAUCAUAAACAUCAAGAAGCAGCAAUUUCUCCAAAACCAUGACUGCCAUUCACGUAGCUUGCCGGAACACGGGAAAAUCUAAGACGAAGCUCACCCACUUAACGACGAGAAGAUUAGUCGUAUCGCCUUUGGCGAAGGUUGGAGGCGCCGACCACCGUUGGGUCUACCACGGGCAGAAGCACCCCCACUGGAGGCAGCCUCCAACAGGAUGAUCCGCCCGCCAACAUACCCUCGACCACCAUGGGCUACAACUAUGCAGAAGGGAGCCCAAACCACCGCUGGUCGCAACGCCCGACCGCCAUGCUACUCAUGGCCACAUCGCUAAAGCCUAGGGGCACCGUCUGAUACCCGAAUCUCAUAGAUGGUCGUCGCCGACUGGGUCUAGGCAGGGAAGGCCCAUACCCCGUUGCCAACAGACUCCAUGACAACCACUAAAGCCCCGGUCCGCCGACGAAUGCCCGAGCCUCGUCGCUAGAUGUCACCUACGCCAACGGAUGUCACGACUAGCCACCGUCUUGCCCUCUCAGCCAGAGCGGCCUGACCACCGCCGAAAUGUCUCGAGGCGGCCGCCAUUGUCCAAGCUUUGUCGACGUGAGCAAACCUGGAAGACUCUUGGGGCACAAGGAGGCAAGCCCACCGAUGUAUUACGCUAGGCAAGCUUUGCCCACCGAAUUCCUUUACCGCCAUCACUAACCUCGAUCCUUGAAGGCUCAUAGCGCAUCAGGACUUCAGGAGGUAACCCCGUUGCCGUUGUCCACCAGAAAGGCUUUUUUCAUCGGCUUCCUCUAGCGGCGGUGAUUAGGGUAUUUCUGGACCGGUCCCAAGAACAAUGUUGGUGUCCUUUCCCCAAAUAAAAUAUCUUAUUAUGCACAUGUACUCCCCCCGGUCCUUUUUACUCUACAUAUAAGAUUUCUCUAAAGUCAAACAAUAUAAAAAUAAUUAAAUUCACAUCGCAUAUAAUAAUAUUGAUUUCGUAUUACGAAUAUUGAUAUCUUUUUACAAUACAUAUCAGAUUUCUCCGAAGUCAAACUUUGUAAAGUUAUACAAUAUAAAAAUAAUUAAAUUUACAACUCAUAUUGUGGAUAUUGAUGUUUUUUUUCAAUAAAAUUGGUCAAACAUUACAAAGUUCGACUUUAAACAAAUUUUACGUGGAGAGUACAGUGGAUCGGAGGGAGCAAAGUGAUAGUCAGCGCCAAAGCAUGUAAUGGUCACGCCGCACGCCACGAAGCUCACAGUAGAGGAAUAAGGAGACCACAACUUACACUAUAUAACAGAAGAGCCUAUUGUGCGAGUAGAGAUCGUGCUAGUUCAAGGUCAAGCAACACAUACAACGCAGAACAGGAUGUGUGCCCAUAGAUGAUCGGCCAUCUGUCUCGUGUCAAUACGCGAUGACGAAAUGUACAACGCAAACCGAGACUACAACAAACAACUCAUCAGAACAAUUACAAACGAUGCAAAGUUCCCAGAAGAUCAUAAUAUCGAAGCUAACAGCCACCAUCUUUACAUAAGCAGCUUCAAUAAAAUUAUUGGCCAAAAGACAACAAUAUCCGAACACAAGGUGGAAAGUAUCGUGACGAUUCAUCAUCAUCGUAAAACAACGGGUGGCCACCCAAGUAAGCCACGUCAGUCGAAUUUGCCUACCAUUAUUGACAGCUUUGUGGGUUUGCAAAAGGAAGAGAGGGGCAAGGAAAACGAAGACUCAAAAAAUUCCUCCACUUCGGCACAUAAUGUGCGUGGAUGUGGCCUUAAUAUACUGAUGCCAAAACAAGCAAUCAUCUUGCCUUUGCAGACUGUAAACAUGGUACACCGCUGGUCGAAUCAUCUAG